rnacentral:lncRNA from 1 species
AAAAUGUAGGCAUGAAAUUAAAAGCAUUGGUGCCUAGCGUCUCCUUUCCUCCCAUUCCAGGCUUGGUAACAUAAACACCAGGUUUCUCCAUUGCAUGAGCAAAGUCAUAGAAACCUAGAGUAAUUGUAUAGAGCACAGUGCCUGCUUCCUCUACGUAAAUUCUGGGAAAUACACAUUAUCAAAUUCAGACAGUGACAAGACAUUGUUAAAUGCCAAUAUUUCAGGAUCUUUAAGAAGAUCCACAUAGAUUUUCUUCAGUGUUCCAGGAAGCUUAAGAUUAUAUGUGGUCCUAUUGGUUUAGUCUUGCCAUAGCUGUAAAGCCAAUUAGCAAACUUUUUCUAAUGUAAAAAUCUAAUAGGCGGUUACAAUAAAUCAAGCAUGUCAUGUUAGCUCCAAGGACGUUUCCUUCAACCCUGGAGACUUGUUAGAGAAGCUCUUUGCUCUAUGGAAAACUGUGCAGGAAGGCCCACCAACCCGCACGAUGAGGUUAUGGACAGCAAGGCUAAGCAAAGCAGACCAUGUCAGGGCAGCCAGAGAACCCAAGAGCAGUCUUAGCAUACACAAUGAAUCAAAAGCAACUCCUAGAGAAAAAAUAUUGAUGCUGUUGUCAAAACUCAGCUUUGUUGAGGAGAUUAAGGCAAAGGCUAUCACAAUCAUCCACCAUUUACUCAUGGGGAAGAGGCAGAGGUUGGCAGCUGAACAGGUGGAAUAGCAGAUCUGCUCUGUAGUUAGGGUAUCUUGGAUGAUCUUUUCAAAGUCAAUGCACGAUUGCUUAGUUUGGAGAGAGCUUGACUUCUAUUAAUGGAAAGUAAACACAGAGAGGAGUCAAGGAGAAAAGGAAAGAUGGAAGCCAUCGCCAUGGGGAGAGGAGAAAAACAGAACUCUCCGGCUUCCUGCUCAGGAGGAAAAUGGAACUUGCCUAUGGAAGACAAGACAGGAUUAUGCGUAUCUAAUAAAAUAAAGCAAAAGGUAAGGUUCUUUAAAUAAUAGAAUGUGUUUUUUUCUUUAAUUUAAAUUUUAAGACGUACAUAGAUAUGCUUGUUCUCUAACGAUCUUCUUUUGGCUUUUUUUCCUUUCUUUCUUUAGUAUUCCGGAGUUCUCUCUUCUUGAGAGUGGUAGAUCUUGUUACUUAACCAUCAAAAAUUGAAUUACAAUCUUCAUUUUGUAGGGUGAUGAUUUAAUGAUAUAAGGCUAAGAACAUUACAAAGUUCACGACAUAAAUAGAUAAUAGUAGACGUUAAAAAUAAACAAUGUAGUAGUAAUACUAAUAUAUAGAGAGAUAUCAACUCCUACCAGUUCUAAAAUCUAGAAAGGCAUAGAAGCUCUAACACGUGAUAAUUAAUACUAAUAAUUGAAAACGACAUUGUAAAUUGUAAUACACCAAAAUUGGAAAACAGAAAUGGCAGAAACAGAAGAGGGCACUCACCUGUACUUGAAGCUGAAGCUGUUUUAAAUACUCGAUCGCCUCGUCAAGCAUAGAAGCUUUAUCCGUCUAUCACUCCAAAAACGAUCCAAAUCAUCAAUUUGAAAAAAAAAAAAAAAGGUUUUUUUUCUUUGGUUGUCGAAGUUUACAAGUACCUUGUUAGAGUUCGGGAUUAGAUUCUGUAAAGCUUUCAUUUUCUCAUUAAUCCGACUCCUCCUCCUCUGCCAAACAAAAACAAUCAAAUAUCUUACAGAUUUUCAAUUUCUUUUCAAAAGUAAAAUGGUUAAGAAAGUCAAACCUUUUCCGACAAAUUAUGGACUUCGGCUGCUCUGCUGCGCUUCGAUGAACUCCGCGGCCGUUCUUGAUUUGAUGGCACCUCCGAUGCGUCCGGAACCUUCUAGAUUAAAAUAGUAAUCUUAAUCUAAAACUUCACAAUUGGAGAAAAAAAUCUAAAUCUUUCACAGGAGAAGAUCUUUGAAACUUUAAGAAUAUUAUUUCAAAUUGUUUUACCUCGCUGUCAUAACUGAAAUCGCAGGCAGAAGAUAACGCAUUGUCAGCGCUAUCUUUAACGUUAGCUCCAAAAUACGUUUCAGGAUCAGAGAUAUUGACUCGAGGCUCUGAUUCGAUUCGAACAGCCAAUCCGCCGAGCCGGUACCGAUCCAUAACCGGAAUUCCCAUCCCCGCGCCGGAGUUAGCAGCCGGCGUUGAAAUUCCCGGCACUGGAGACGGAAAAGAGUGAAUGUUCUUGCCCUUGAAUUGCAUGCACGAAGAUGAUGAAGAUGACGAAGAAGAGGAAUUAUGAAGGAGCUGGUUAAGGAUAGUGGAGAUUUCUUCAGUUUCCGGAUUCGAAUAAGGAGCACCACCGUACAGAUCCGCCAUGAAAACGAGUCAGAGAAGAAAUUAAAUAGAAUCUAAACGCAAGAAUAAGAAAGAGGAAACGUUUUCUGAUCCACUUGCUCUUCCUUUUCUUUUUUCUUCUUCUUCUUUUUUUUUUUUUUUGUUUGUUUAUUUUAUCUUUUUCUGUGCUGAUUUUGUUUGGAUCUUUUCGUUAUUGUUUUUUCUUUUUUCCCAAAAAGAAAAAGGAAAAUAAUAUAUGAAAUUUCUGAAGAUGAUGAUUACUGAAUAACAGAGUCUGGAGCUUUAGCUUUUAUUCCCAAAGUUGCAUAAUCAAAAUUCGGAUUAAUCUCCCGCCCUAAUUAAAACGGACCGUCCAAUAUUUUUAUUAUUUUCUUUUAGGGUCCUCCUUUUUAUAUUUAUUCUGAAUUCACCACAAACAUUUCACAAUUUUCAAUUUUGUCCCCCCUUUGCAACUGCUCAUAUUGGAAUUUUUAGUUGUUUUUAUCCCAUUUUUUAAACCAAAUUCAUGGGUUUCUAUCUGCAGCAAAUAAUCUAAGUUGAUUCUCUGUGUUUGUCAAGAUUUGAUCAUUUAGAUUCCUAAAUUCCACGAAUCUUAAGACAACAAGAGCAAUUGUUUCAUAUUUAAAUUGUGAUAUUCUAUUUACAGGAAAAAGAAUCACGUGACAUAAGUUGAUUACUUUUAGAACUCUGCGAGAACUAAUCAUUUCCACUCUCAAAUUCCAUGAAAAUUUGCACGUUGAGACAGACAUCUAACAAGUUUCUUAAUACAGUCAAUGCUUUUUCAAUGUUCAAUGAAGAACAAAACACAGAGCAAGUCUUUGGAUUAUUGUAAUAAAUAAAAAUCUCUACAAUUACGGCUAUGAUGUUAAUAUGUUUUUUUUUAUUUAUUUUCAUGUCUCUUUUAUAAUUAGUGCAUGCAUUAUCUAUCAUAGCAUUACAUACCAUACUUGUUAGUGUUGACAUGUGUCUUUUAAUAUAUUAAAAAACUAAAAAUAUAAAUAAAAAAUACAAGGUAAAAUUAUUAUGCGUUUUUAAUUCUACCUUCAAGUGCCUAAAAUAAUUAUCCUUAUCAAGCCUUAGAUUAUUAAAAAAUAAACACAGAUUAAAAUAAAGGUAAUUAUUUAAUUCAUGUUUUUGAAGUUGAUUGAUUUAGAUUCCACAAGUAUGUUGAGAGUAUGAUAAGUGUCCCAUUCAGAAGCGGAUUUAGGGGUUGGAAAGGGUCCCGCCUCCUUAAAAUAGAAAAUUACACUUCGGUCCCCUUAAAAGUAAUAAAAUUUUGAUUUAAUAUUUUAAAAAUUACAAAGAUAUAAACAAUAUAAUUUCGACCCCCUAAAACUUUUUCCUGACUUCGCCCCUGGUCACAUUUAUUUAUUUUUAUAUACAUUUUUUACUAUACCCUAUGACACAUUUGUCAAACUUUCAACCCAUUUGUGGAGUUUAAAAAUAUAUUAAUUAUAAAUGAGAUAAAUCUCAAAAUUACAUAUAAACUUGAUUCAAUGUGCAAUUUAAUACAUGAACUUUGAUUUGGUGUAUACAUUUUGUGUUGUGAUUUAAUUAUACACAUUUAAAGAAAUAAAUACAUAAUAUUUUUAUAUUAGGUAAAUAUAAUUAGUUGUGUACGCCAUAUAUAAUUGUUUUAAUAAAUUGUGAAAAUUGAAUCAAUCAAAUCAAAUCAAAUUUCAUAUAUAAAAUUAGACAAAAUCAUAAUUCAUGCAUAACAUUGCAUAUUUAAUCAAGUUUCUUAUAUAGUUUUGAGUUUUAUUCCUUUAUAAACAAUAAAAAUUUAAUAUAUUAAGGGUCGAGGGUACAUUCAAGGGGCGUCGGUGUAACUAAUGUAAUCCGCGUUGAUACUUUAAAAACAAAGUAGGAAGAAGAAGAUGAAGAAGAAAGAAAGAAAAGGAGAAAAAAAGUCAAAGGGACAGUUUCAGCCUUCACUGUCUUAUCCAACCAAAACGUCAGCUUGGCCUGAAAACAGCAUUAAUUAAAAAAGGACUUACCCAAUCCUGCAAUUCCCGAGGCUCAUUAUUUUUGGUUGCGUGUUCGAAACAAGAUGAUCUGUCACAAACCAAAACCAUGGGAUUACAGAUAGAUUACUCCCCCUUUUUCUUUCAUUACCAUCACCUAAAAGCUACAAUUUGCAGAGUUUGGUGGUUGCUCUGGCAAAAGAUUCUUUCACUCCUACCAUGCCUAUGCCUUUCAAAGUUUAGCAUAAUCUUUGUGAGAUAAUAAUAAUGAUAAUGGGGGAUUGGGACACAUUUUGCCAAUUAUCUAGCAGGUUGAGUUUUAAACGAUUUGUUAAGGUCGGCACUGAAAUGAUGGUAAACUAACAACUCAAACAAGGGGGUAUGGGUUUUGCUUGUUUGCGAGCUUAUGUUAAUUAUGGAGGUUGCUUUCAAGCCUUCUUUUUUGCCAAAGCAUUACUCUUUUUAAGCUGAUGACGGUUGGUGUCAAAAUCAUCUCUGACAAGUGACCAAGCAUUCCCCCUAUCUCAAUUUCAAGGAAUUAUUGAAGCAGACACAACAAAAACUUCAAUAUAAUGAGGCUUAUGAUUUUAGACAUUUCAAAGCUCCAUAAUUGAGGGCUCUUUAAAUAAUUUAGAAGUUUGACAUAAUAUAUAUUCCAUUGAACCACAAAAGAGAAAUUGACAGAAAUAUGGUUCCCAACAUCACCACCACCUUUCCCCCACCCAAAAAUUGAACGGAACCAAAAAGGAGAGCAUAAAAAUAUAAAGAUAAUCAAUAAUCUAUGUCGCCAAUGGGCUGAAGAUUCCAUACAUAAAAACUAAUAGUGCAAGUGCAAUGAUAGAAUGAAAAAAACAUAGAAAUUAGCUUUUCUGUUCCCAGUGCUUCAAGCAUUUGUGUUAUCCACUCCACCCAGAAGCUUUGCUUUGUUUGACAUAAUUGGAAGUAAAAAUGGCUCAGGCAAUUGAAUUAGAAUUGCCAUGGAUUAUCUCGGUGUGAACACUUAAAAGGCUGCUUAUGGAAAACAUUUGAAGGCAUCAAGUUUUAAUGAGUACAAGCUUGGAUGCCACUUUUUCUUCGUCUUCUCAUUUAGUCAGACCAGUUGUUUUACAAAUGGGGCACAAGUUUUUGCGCACCAACCAUUGUUUAAUGCAAUCGGCAUGGAAGUUGUGGCCACAUUCCAGUGUCCCAAGAUUUUCUCCAUCAUUAUAUUCUUCCUGCAAGUUUGUAAACAAAUGCUUAUUGGGGUUCAUAGAAUCAGUAAGGAAACUGCAAAAGAGAAAAAUUAAUUACCUGACAAAUACAACACGGUUCUGCCUCUGACUGAGCUCCUGGUGUACUAGAGUACUUUUGUCGUUUCAGACGGUUUAAUAUGGCUUCCUCACUCAACCCUGUGCUUACAUUACCAAUUCGCUCUUCCAGAGCCAAUAACUCCUAUUACCCACACAAAAGUUCUACUAUGAGAAUGUUCACUCAGAAAGGAUACUAGAUGUCAUAGAUGCCAAAAAUAUAAAGAUUAUACCUCAUACGACAUGUUAUCAACAUCGAGCCGCAUAUCCCUAUGCCGGUCAUGAACAUCAGCUACCCCAAGAAAUACUGAUUGAUCAAGGAUCAUAACAUCCUGCCAUAAAAACAGUAUUAGAAAGAAAACGUCACUUGUUAGGUCAUAAGUAAAUUCUCAUCCAUAAACAACAUUUGAGUAUGACUAUAUUGACAAAUAAACAAUAAAAGAGAAGGCAAAUCUUCAUGCUUCCAUGAUUCAAUUGGUGAAGAACUGCUUCGAAUUACACCAUAAAUAUCAGAAACAUUACCUCAAAACGCAAGUUCUCACCCCUACGCAUGAGAUCCAAGACAUUGCGUAUCUGCCCCAUAAACAGAAUGUCAGAUCCAGUUAAGCAGUUCUUUGGUAGAACAUUUAAAAUUGGAAAAGUAUGUAGUGUACGGGUAAAACAAAUACUUUACAAGGUAAAUGGCAUUUGCCCUUGUGCAGUAAAAAUAAAGAGUAAAGUGCAACAAAUGAAUGAGUGAUUCAUAGUAUAGGUGCAAGCAUUUUGGAUAACAAGGCCCUACGGCAUUUCUUUCAAACAAAAGCAACUAGGAAAAGAACAGCAUAUACAUGUUCUUAUCCACAAUCAGCAUCGCAUUAUAAUGCAGAAGUUAAAACUGGCGGUAAAUCAAGUACUCAUAAUGCCAAGGGAAUCACCUGUAUUACCUUAUGUUUAAAAUUUAAGGAAAUGAUAAAACUAUCACAAGAAGAAAAGAUGCAGUUCUAGGGCAAACCUCGGACGCAAGAAGCCUGCUUCUUCCUUCAGUUGCAGCAGCCAAGGUCCGCAAUGAAUGGGGAAUUCCUUGGAAGCCAGCAUCUUGUCUCUCCAACCAUGAGGCUGACCUAGGGUAUUGACGAUGGUGGCCCUGAUUAGGUACACCGGAGGAAAGCAGCAUCUCUUCUGGGGAAGUAGGAAGUCCUGAAGAAAGUGGAGAAUGAUUGACAUGACCUCCAGAUUCAGCACCAGCGGAAGACAUCAAUGAUCGACGAACAAGUUCUGACAAUCUCCGUGGGUAUUGCGGUGAAGGGUUGGGAUGAGGAACCCAUGUGGAAGCAGAUGAUGCAUUGGCACCAGAACUUGAGCCACCUCGAUAUGUAGAAGCAACAUUUCCAGGAACACUUGCAUUUCCUGUGCCUAAACCUCGAUUUACUGGAUUCCUCACCAUAGGUCUCAAUUCCGGUGCAGGAACAAACAUAGGAUGAUCUAAUAGGUUUCUAGCAAUGCUUCUUGAUUGAGGCCCCUCACAUGGUACAAAAUCUCUAACCACAGAUAAAUUGGAACUUGAACUGCCGACUCUUGAACCAGAACCUCCAUUCCACCUAAAUGGUUGCAUAUUUCUCGGCAAAGUUGGAACAUGAUUUACAACAUUUAAGUUUUGUGAGCUUGCAUUAUCUGCCACCGGUGCUGACCUUAACUCAAGAGAAUGAUCGGUUGGAAUAAGUCUUGAUGACUGCUGAGAGGACAAAACAACAGACUGCCUGGCUGUAUCACCUGUAGGAAAAAUUGGAGGAGCAAUAGGCUCUUGCAUACUUGAAGGAUUAAUUCUACGGCGGAAAUUCCUGUGAGAGCCCUCUGCAGGUGGUAAAACAAUUGGUUCAUGAAUGCUGCUAGAAGCUGAUCCUCUUACAUCCAAUCCAAGUCUAGGGUGCACCUGUCCUGAGGGAGCAGAUAUAUCCACACUACUUCCAGUGCUAUAGCUAACAGGAAGUCCACGGCACCCACUAUUUUCACCUCGAUGAAAGUAGCUAGAACUUCCACUUGAUGAGGACUGCCCAACAUUUCCUUCAAGUGUCUUUCUUUUGCAGGAUGCACGACGGCCCUCAUAAGGGCAAACAGGUCUUCUAUCAUUAUCACCCAUGACAUACCCACCACUUCCAGAUGAAAGAAGAAAAGCUUCGGGACCAGUAAAAGCUGAAAUCCGCUCAUUUUGAGAUCCACUAGGCUUAUACAGAUUAGACUGUUCUGUAUCUUGACAGUUAUUAUCGUCAUCCAUUAAGCUUGCAUUCAAGUUGAUAUCCUGGGGAACUGUAUUAGAAUUGGAACUUUGGCCGAAUAGAGUGCCCUGUUCAUACCGCCGUUCUUCUAACCUAGGACCAGAACUUGAAGAAGCACUCAUGGAAGAUGACCACCCAUGGUUCAUUUUCCGCUCGUUAUGGCUUACGACACUCUGUGUGCCACUAGAGCUAGGCUCUCCCAAGCUGCACCGACCCAGCUCCUGAUCCUCUCGAGCAUUAGAGUUCCCAUGUCCAAUAUUCGCAUCAUUAGCUGACAGCAAACAAUCCGACAAUCUGCUUUCAAUGGGAUUUCGGAUAUUAUUCCAGCAUACUUGCUGGUCUAUAGCAGCAUUACUUGAUGAAGACCCAUGAUCAAAUAAGGUUUCAGGCAAGGAACCAACAGUACCCCUUUGGCCUUGCAUUACAACUUGUAUGAACUUCCAAACAAAUUAUUGUGCAGUCCUGAACAAUAUUCCAAUAGAAAAUAAGUUACCAUAAAAUCACAACAAAGUUAGAGAGCAGGCAUUAAAUAUGCUUCUAGGAAGUCAAAUGAACUACAGGUGAAGUGGCAAAGAACUUGUGUUCAAGUCUAGUUGACAGCCAUCCUGAAUUCGAUCCAUGGACAACCACUACCCCCUUCCCUUUAUAUAAAAAAUGCUUCUAGAAAAUGUACUUGUGUAGAAAAAUGCAGAACAAAAUUUCAUAAAUAUGCUUCCAUCUAUUUCCAGAUUACUAUAGCAAGAGAGUAAGUCAAGUCCGAGUUAUGUUGCUUAGUAGAAAUAAUAGAAUGCAAUGAGGCUACAGAAGCAGGAACCAGAAAUUACAAGCAAAUGCAGUAAUCAGGAGGAACAACAAGCAGUAAGUAAUUAAGCCAAGUGGCCUCUCAACCUGCAACCACUGGUAUAGGGUUUAGACAAUGCAAAUAAAUCAACAUAGAGAUAUAGAUUGGUUCAGUGCAGAAUAGCAUCAACAAAGACAACCAAAUGUGAAGAUAUCCCAAAUUUAAUCCAUAUAGGGUAUUUAGACAUUUAUAUACAUCACAAAAGUUUGAAACCCCCAUCCUAAACUAGGUCAACAAAACAUAGAACCAUAAAAAGGGCACGGAGGAACUAAAUCUGAACUAUAAAACAUUAGGGAGGAACCAAAGCAGCAGCAAUAAGACAGCAGUUAUUUCUCUCCUAUAAACAAGAACCAUAGAGAAGAAAAGCAAAAAAAAAAAAAAAAAAAACAGAACCCUAAACUAAACGCAUAAGCAAGACAGAGGCAUUCCAGUUGUAGUUAAUUCUCUCCUAUAUUUUUCCCUGAGCAGUCAGCAACCCCCCUAUUACCCCAACCCCAAAGCCACCAUACAACAGAAAUAAAGCAAAGAAGAAGGAAAAAACAACUAAAUCAAACACAACCGCAAGGGUCAAACAUGGUAACCAUAAACGCCAUCUCUCUACAUAUCAGCUAUUACGAGAGACAGUCUCAAUAACAAAAGAAAUCCAGUAAAAACAUAGCAAAAGCUACAGACCUUAGACAGGAAAAAUCUCCAACAGGAAUAUGCGGAUUUCCAAAACAAAACCAAAAAUAAAAUCAAAAUCAAAACUUUGAACAAAAAAAUAAAGGAACACUUUUUAAGCCAAAACCAAGAAAUUAAAAGGGGGGGGGGGGAACCCAGUGAGAACAUCAUCCACAUCUCAUCUGACCAUCAACCGAUCAAGCAGAAAUAAACAUGAAAUACAACCAAAGAGCUCACCUAAAGGGUAAAAAUCAGAGACCUUGAUCGAUCUAAGAGAAUCUAAACAAGAAAACACAGGAUGAGAGGGGUGGGGAAAAAAAAGGAUAUAAAAGCUGUCUUAAAGCUAUUCUCCUCUCCCUUCUCAAGAAAGGAAAGACAAAGAAGAAAAAAAACCCACUUGGGCAAUGGGAGGAAGAGAGAGAGCCUUUGAAAGAUAAAAUCAAAUAUACUCGAAACAAGAAACAAAGAGAUAGAUUACCUGUAAUUUACCAAAUAACCCUGCAGAAAGAGAAAGACAAAGAUAAAAAAGAAAAGAGAGUAAUGGUCAUAAGAGCAGUUUCCAAACAAAGAAUUGAAUAACAAAAAAGAAAAAGAAGAGAGAAAAAAAAAACAAAUGCUUAAACAAACAACAAUAACUAUGCAAAGCUGUCCGCUUACCGAAUAGCUUUCAUGUCUCCAUCUUUUGAUCUCUCUCUUUUCCUAGUAAAGAUAUUUUUUCCUCUCUUCCUUAUUCUCUCUAUAUCAUAAAAAUAAAUAAAUAACAACCCUUUUCCCUUCACACUCUCUCUAUCUCUAAAACUUAAAUGUAUAAUAAUGAAACUAAAUAUAUAAUAUUUAAUAUAAUUAAAACCCGUCUCCCAUCCCAAUGCGGUCCGUAGGUAAAAGCCCCACAAACACUAAACCUUCUCUGUUUGUUUUGUUACCAUCUCGUUCACGCCAAGUACCUGCCUGCCUUCCCCUCUCUUUAGGCCUCAACUCUUUUAACUCUUUUAACUCGUCCACAUGCAUCCCUCUUUCUCUCCCUUUCCUUUUAUGAGGAGCCACCCUUGGCCACCUUGCUUUUUUACCUAUGAGCCCAAUUAAUUCCCAAUUUAAAAUAAAGACUCGUCUUUUUUCCAAAUACAUGAACAUGACAUGUAAAAUUGUUACCGUGUUAAAUUCAAACGUGGCUUUGAUAUAUAAUAUAUUUAUAUAGAAUCGACCCCACUUGAAUAGCUUGAUUUUUUUUACCCUUUUUUUCCUUAUGCACCUAAAAGUUUUGAUUGCUUUUAGAAUUUUAACCAUAAGUGGAAUUUGUUUCUUUUUUUUUUCCAUAAGAUGUUUCUUCAAAAAAAAAUCUUCUUGUUGGUGAGAUUUGGGAAGUCAUAUCCACUCACAAAGAACAAUAAAAAUUAUGCACUAUCUUAUGAUAUGGGUAAUAACUUAAAUUCUCUGUCCUGUAGUUUUAGGUGGAAUAUGUCAAACGAAGAAAUGCAGUGAAUGCACAGCAAAUAUCAUUGCUUAGCUUAAAAGAGGUGUGAAUACAAUGACCCUAAAAGUUCCUUCCUCCCCCCCCCCCCAAUGAGUAUUUAUGCAGGUUCUUUGCUCCCCCCCCCCCUUUUCUUUCAAAUUUGUUUUUGAUAUUUAGCCCCUUGGCGUUCAUAUCUCAAUCAUGAAGGGGCUCUUUCCUUUUAGCUUCCACUGCUUUCCUACCUUUUUUUUAAUUUGAUUUUUCUUCUUUCAAACCAUUCAAAGGUGGUUGCUUUGCUCUACCUCGUUUUUUUUAUCCUAAAAAAUGUGUCCAUCUGGACAUAUGGGUACAGCAUAUACAACCACAUCAUGCAAUGUCAUUUAUUGAAAAUUUUUAUUAACGAGAUAAGAAUUGAUUAUUCUCCAUUUUCCAAAGGGAAUAUUAUAAACGUGGCAUUUGCUUUAGAGAGAGAGGGGACUACCAUCUACAUAUGAUACCAAGACUCCGUAUAUUUAGAACUAAUCAUGGACCAUUAGUUUGGACAUUAGGCACUAAAUCCAAAAAGGAAACAUAAAAUAAAACAGGAGAGAAAGGAGAUUUGACUUUAAUUAAAAGAGUACAUACAUGCUUGCAAGCUGGGAUUGGAACUAGACUUCCAAUUCAUCUAUUUUCAGCUUUUUGUGUUUUAUAUAUCUUCCGUUUAUAUCACAGAUUUGCACACAUUCAGAAUUUAUAUUAUAUUGAGACCGACAUUUAUGCAUUUUAUAAUGCUCCUGGUAUUUUUAACUCAUACAUAAUAUAAUCAUAAUUCUUAUUAUUUAAAAUUAUCAAGUAUAAUGAUGGCCUGGUAAUAAAUUUUUAAAGGAAAGACCAGCCAGUUAAAAGGACGGGUGUAGUUGUUCGCAAUUAUGUGAUUUAAACCCCAGAGAAUAUCUUCAAGACCUGUUUCAGAAUGGUGGGUGGUGGGAGCGACUGACCCAUCAAUCAAUUAAUUGAAAAUGAGUAAAGCAUGUGAAUUAUUAUGACUCAGGGUUUUUCUUUUGCCCCGGGGGGGAAGAGGGGGGGGGGGGGGAAUACUACACAGAGACCAAGUGACCCAUCCCUAGCAGCAUGCAUUAGCAUAUGAGAGAGGUGGUGGAUGUCAUGAAUGCAGUGAUAAAUAUAAUGUUAAUGCACAUGGCAGAUUGGAAAACGGAGGUGCCCAAAUGGGACGAAUGCAAUGUCUUUGGUUACCACAUAAUGGACUGUAGGAACCGGGAAGGAAUGACAGCCAUUCUUUUCUACCGCUGCAGAUUCAGACUGAUUCAACCAAUGACCACGUGGCAGUGGCUGCAUCUUCUCAAAGCUCUCAAGCAGCAAAUAUAAGUACAGCGAACCUACAAGUUAAAACAGUUUCAUCCUAAUUUAUUUAGAUUCAAUCGUCUAAUUUAUCUACCACAGCAAGGGCGUUUCAAAGUGGAUUACAGACAGUCUUAAAAAAGGAAUGGCUUUCCCAAGGGAGGCCACAUGGAUGUUUCAAGGAAAACAGUAUUAUUAUACAGUUGUGUGCAGUUCUGCAAUGAGAAAGCUCAGAAACGAUAUAAAACAGGCUAGAAGAAGAAAGACAUGCCCAAAUAAAGGCAUUUGAGAAGUGAGUGAGCAAAAAGUCUCGACCCACCAUCACCAGAGAAAUAAGAGAACACGGAAUCCAGGUGAAGCAACCAAUGUUGAAAAUUAUCAGACCCGUCCAAUGUACCACACACUUAAUUCUUGUGAAGGAAAAAUUCCAGAUAAUUUGAUUCUUCUGAAACAUAGCUUCUAGAUAAAUUAUUCUGAAGCAAAGUUCUUGAUAUUAGUCACAUGAGUGCUGCCUGCAAGGUGUGCAAACAGAUAAAUUUACUAAAAUUUACACGCAUGUUAUCAAUCCAGGGACUAGAGAUAAAAGGGAAGAAAAAGGACCUUACGAGGUGAGUGAUGCUGCCAUUAGAAUUCUCUCUAUUCAUAUGAUUCGAAAAUUUCUUUUUUCCUAUUAGAUUCUUGAAUAUAUUAAUCAUUCUCUUGAUAUUUCUGAAGGUAACUGGUCCUAUUUUCUUUAUGGUGCGUAUGAUGAACAAUCAACUGAGAUCGUCCAACUCUAUAAAAUCUGCUUCUAUAAUUGAAAGUAACUCACUGGUAGUUAGCCGAGGCCCCACCUGCAUAACAGCCAUUGCACACAAAACAUGUUUAAUUUUAGGAAAGAAUGCAACAUCUAGCAAAUGCUCAUGUGAUAAAAGUUUAGACAUGCUUAACAUUUGUGGAGUUAAGACUUGGCAUAGGGAAAACUUCAAGAUAGAUGUACAACAAGCAAAUAUGGGAGAAACAGGGGCUAUCUAGUUUGUAAUGUGAUGACCUCAAAAGAUUGGAGUACCCUUCUUUUAAUGCUCAACCAUGACAUAAACAAGUUGUCAAUGAUAAUUACUUUUAUAAUUACGAAUACAUAUGACCACUGUCAAGAACAGAGAUUUGAAAUACAUGUAAACUUUGUUAGAAAAGAAACACCACAAAAGCCUUGUAUGGUAGCUAAAAUAAUAGUAUAGACAAAAUGGAAAGGAAUUGACAGUAAUAUGACAUCCAUGAAAGUAAAAUAUGCCAAACUAGGUUACCAUAUCAUCGGGCAGGUCUGGUGGAAUGCCUGAAGGAAACUCAAAACUUGCAACAGAAACAGGUCCAGUUGUUAUUGGAUCAUCUAGCUCUUUAGUAAAGUCAUCACCAUUGAUUUCAGCUUCAAGAGUGUCAGGUCUCAGAAAUCCAUCAUGCUGAAUUCCGAUGUGACGUAUAGCUGAAACAGUUUCUUCUGCACAACUUAAAACAUUCUCUGAUACACUAUUUCUAGCUCGAGAUUUGAUGAAAACUCGGCAUAGCACAAAAGAAGCCUGCAGAUGGUAGAGACAUCACUUUCAUGAAGUAACAGUCCCAGACCCUCCCCAACUAAUGAAAUCAACCUAAACAUAUAAGUUCACAUUUGGCAUAGUAUAUCUCACAAACAGGCAAAACUAAUUGCGGCAAAGUUCAUAUUUUCCAAAGAGUAUCGACAUGAAAGUGGGAUAUUUACUUAGAUUUCACUACAAUAAUUGAGCAGAGAUUUCCUUUAUUGAGGACUCAAGAGUAUUCCAAUCCACACAGGCAGGUAGGUACUCUUCUUACUACAAUUGACAAAGAAAAACAAGAAGGAAAUAAAUUUUACGUGGCUCUUCAGAAAAACAAAUCCUUUUGCACAUAUUUGCCUCACCAACUGAACAUAAGUCCAAGAAUAUGAUCACUACAAUGAACAAUGAUGCAUCAUCUAUUUUAGAAAAACAACAAUACAGCUUUCCAACAUGCUGAGCCACCAGAAUUUUGAAAAAAAUUUGGCCCGCAGAAGAUAAAUAAUGAAAAGAGACAGUCAUAUUUAUAAGCAUUAAAAAAAAGGGUAGGGGCUAUGUGGUUUUAGAGCAUAAGCUACAAAAACAAACUAAAAAAGAAGGAUGGUUUGUUGGACUGGAGAGAGGACAAUUAAAUCUGCAAUAGAUACAAAAUUGGUCAGUUCCGACUACCAUUACCUACCAAACAGCAAUAACAAAAAGUAAUUCCUCAACAUGAUACCCCCCAAAUUAAAACUUCUAUACAAAGGAUGAUUAAACAAAAUAAAGAAAUUUAAUUUCUUUUUACCUUGUGGCGGUGAAGAAGUGCAUACUCAUACAUAAUCCAAGGAGUCCUAAGAGCAGCCUUAACUGAAUUCAUCUCAUAAAACACAAAUUUAGUUCUAGUCCCCAACUUAACAUUUCCUCCUCCAAACACAUCCUUAACUUUUCCAAUUUUCCUCCAAAACCCACCCUUUGCCCUUCUCCUCCCCCUCCCACCUUUACUCUUGGUAUAACAAAACCAGUGCCUUCUUCUCCCCUUAUAUCCGUGCACAAAGCACGCGCCCUCCGGUAAAUCUGACGGCUUAUAAUCGUACAAAUGAAGUUCCCUGAUAAAAUCGGAUCCGUACGCAUCAGAGCGAUCGGCGGCGACGGAACUGUUUUUCCCAGUGAGGUAAUGGUUUAGAAGCUCCUCCUCGGAAGGGUAAAAUCGACAACCAGGUGGAAAAUGAUACGGCGAACUUGCUCUGGAUGAACCUCCUCCUAUAUCCACCAAGGGAAGAUUCGAAUUUUGAUUGUUUGACAUUUUAGGGGAAUUUUUAGUCGAAUCAGAAAAGGAAACGAUUUUUUUUCCGUAGGGUUUUAGCUUUCCCAAAUUCGAUUUUAGGGAACAAGAGAAGAGACUUCGAUUGUGUUGGGGGGUUUGGGGUAUAAAACACGAAGCGACGAAGCGUGCCCCUUAAGUUUCACUGCGAGUGUGUUAGUCUCCUUUUCAUGUGUACCUUUUCCUCUCAUAUAUGUUGAGAGUGAGAGGAAUGGGGGAGUUUUGCAUACGUGGAGGGAUUUCAUUGGUUGUAAUGCGUGAACGGGAAGGACAAAAAUUACCCCGAGUUUUGUUGGAUAAAACCUCAAUGAUCUCUACCUUGACAGCCGUUGGAAUUUUUAACUAAAAAAAGAAUCAAAACUCUCCUGAAAUUUAGCUACAUCUGGACCGGCGGAGUAAGGGUGAGUAGGGAUCGGCUGUACUAAGCCGCAAGAGCUGGUAGAUUCGGCAACUGAACAUGUGGCUGAAUAUGAAAGCGUGUAUUGCGUUACUUCCCCAAUUACGUGGUGCCACUCACAUACUAUACUAGGAAAGACGAAAAAAGAACCAUUGUUUCGAAAAUGGGGGGCAAAUGUCUGAAGUCUGAACUGCUCGAAAUCUAUACAAAAAAGAAAAAGUAUUUUUUAAUUCAUUUUAAAUUACUACUGAAUUUUCAACAAGGCCAAGCCAUAUUAGCCCACGCCGCAGAAGCCGACGGCCGCCAGACGGCAGUUAAGUCCUGUUUAUUAUAAUUAAGGUUAUUUUGCAACUCAACCUUCAGUGACUGUGUAACCUUAUUUUUUAUACCUUUCUUUUAUCUUGUUUUACAUUUAAAUCCUUCGUCAGAAACACAUGCAGAUUUGUAAUUAUGUAUUGUAAUUUCACCACCCAAGCACAUAUUUCAAUUUUAUUCGUUUAUUUUUUUAUACAUUUUAAGUUAAUUAUAUUUUAACUUGUGAUUUGAUUAUCUUCAAUAAUUAUAUUUUUAACAUUUAAGUUAUUUACCUGAUAUAUAUUUAAAUUAAAUAAUAAAUAAAUUUAUAAAAUAAAAUAUUACUUCAAUUGACAUCGGUAAUAUAAAAGAUACAGGUUCAAGUGCAUUGUAUAAAAAAUGUCUAUCACUGGUGUUUUUUUUUUUUUUUUUGCAACUUACAAGAGAAAGAUAAAAUCUUAAGCAAUAGAUACUCUAGCCAAUACAUAAGAUUCCAUCAACAGUAAUUUUUAAUCCCACUACUACAAUAUAUAAUUUCACUACUAUCAUUAUUUUUAAUCUUACGAAAACCACUAAAUUAAGCACUAGUUCAUAAUUUCAAAUUUUUACGGAUGUGAAAUGUCUGUCUUAUUAAAAUGUAUGAUAAAUAAUUACGUCUUAAUUUAAAUGCUUAUAAUAAAACAUUUUUUUCUCCCUGAUUUUUGAAAAUACUUUUUACUUUUAUUUUUAAAAUUUUAAAAAACAUGAUAAAUAAAAAUUUCUUUUAAAUAAUGAAAAUAUAAAUCUAAAAGGGUAAAUUACACAGAUAGUCACUUGAUUAUAAGUUUUUUUUUUUCAUUUUAGGCACCCAAAAUAAAAUGUUUACAAUUUAAGCACCUACGUUAAAUAGUUUGGUCAUUUUAGUUACUCCCAUAAAAAUCACAAAUGGAAAAUUGAUAUGACAGUUAAAAAAUCAGUAUAAUAACAAACUUAGCCCUCAACUUUUCAUAAUUUUAAAAAUUAACCUUCAAUUUUCACAUAUAAUCUUAAUUUGAUCCUAAUUCUAAAAAGUUCAAAGAAAUAUAUAAAAAUACAUAAAUAUUUUCAAAAAAAUAAAUAAAAGUAAAUAUUUAAAAAACAUAAUAAUAAAUUUAAAUUUUAUUUUAAUAUUUAUAUUAAAUAAAAUAAAAAUCCCCCAUCACCGUCCCCGAGCCGGUCUCCCCUCCCCUCACCCCACCACUGUGGGGUGGGGAGAGGGACCAGAUGAGAGAAUUUUUAUUUUAUUUAAUAUCAAUAUAUUUAUAUUUAUUAAUAUUAAUAUUAAUAUUAAUAUAAAAUUUAAAUUUAUUAUUAUAUUUUUAAAAAUAUUUAUGUAUUUUUAUAUGUUUCUUUGAUUUUUUUAGAAUUAGGAUCAAAUUAAGACUUGUAAAUUUUGAGGGUUGAUUUUUUAAAAUUAUGACUAAAUUGAUAUAAUAUGUAAAAUUCGAGGCUAAAUUUGUUAUUAUACUAAUUUUUUUAACUACCAUUUGAGGUUAUCGUUUUUUAUUUUAACGAGAAUGAGCAAAACGAUCGAACUAUGUAACGUGGGUGCUUAAAUUGUAAAAUUUUUGUUUAGACACCUAAAAUGAAAAUUUUUUAUAAUUGAGUGACUAUUUAUGAAAUUUACCCAAACUAAAAAACAAUUAAAAAAAAGUUCUUAUCAACUUUUUUUUAAUGAAAACAAAUUAGAUACGUUCAUUUUAGUGGACACAUGUUUUUUGGUAUAAGAGUGUUUUUAGAGUGAAUACCAACCUUUUUCUCUUUAUGGUGAUUUGAAAAGGUAAAAGCAUUUCAUAAAUGGCCAACAUGGCGUCAUCUACAACGCCGGAUGAUAAGAAGCGUUUUAUAGCAUCAAUUUCUUCACAAACAAAUAUCAAUUAAACCUAACAUAAACUUUGAAAGCAUGUCAACGAUGUAUUCAGAACCAAAUUAAUUUAUAUAAAAGAGAGGUUCAAUGAAAUUAAACGAACUUACAAGAAGUAUAAAAAACACUAUAAAAACCAAAAGCGUAGCUUAAUAUAAAAAGUUCAAAACUUCAAUCCUAAUAGACUAAUAUAGGCCAAUGUUGAUAAAAGGUGCCAGGUUACCCAUAUGCCCAAUUCCAGUCUUUUUUGCACUCAGGACACAAGGUUAUCAUUCAGGGAUAGUGAAGCCAAUCGGUCUGCUGGAUUGUUGGCCUGUUGCUGAGCAGCAACACUCAAUACCUCCAUGGCCUCGGCUACUUUUGCCUUCAAAGCUUCUGGUGACUCAAGGAGAUGCAAAACCUCAGUUUGGUCCAUUUCCAGAAGCAUCCCUGUAACCUUGGCUGCAGAAUCACGCUCCAACCGUUCCACAAGGGGGUAUAAGCUUUCACCAAGCAUCUGCUCACAAGAAGCAAUAAAAAUAUUAAGACCUCGAAGAUAAAUACUCCCCCCCCCCCCCGGCUCAAUAAAUAAAUAAAUAAAUAAAAGCCACCAACUGCGAAAGAAAGAAAGAAAUGGGACUUACCGUCCUUUGCUGUUCAGGCGUUGCAUUUGCGAGAGCUGUAGCCAAUGCUGGUACUGGCAUAGGUUGCCCAACACCAGCAUCGCGCAUUGGCAUGCCACCCAUGUCAUAUGGAACAGAAAGCAUGCCACCGGGAACAUUUGACAUUGGACCCUCAGGCAUCAUACGACCAGGGGGGUAACGAUAGACACGUCCCCUGGGCAGCAUCUGAAACAAGCAGGAUGAAUAGUACAAACAACUUCAGCCAAAGAAUAAGCAUAAACCGCAGGUUCAUAAACAUAUGCAUAAAGCUUACUUGCUGUUGCAUCAAUGGCAAUGGUUGCUGAGUCUGUUGCACUGGACCAGCUCCUCGUCGUCCCCCUGGUCGCUGGCCCUGCUGACCUUGCUGUACCAUAGGAACAAAGAAAUUUGGCACAGGGGGUCCACCAGGCCUCAUUUCGGGAACCAGUUGUUGUUGAUAACCAAAACCAGCCUAGAAUAUAUGGCAUAAGGAAACAAGCAUAUUCAUAUUUCAACUGUCCUCAACAAAAUCAAAUCACUCAAACAUCCAAAUGGGCAAGAAUGCCACCUUAUGAAGGAGGCCAAAAAGUGAAAACAUGAAAUCAAGCAUAUCAACUUAAGAGAAUAGAAAAAGUGAAGAUAUAUUACUUGCGGAGGAAUAAUAGCUGGAGGUCCUUGCCCAUAUAAAAACUGUUGGCCAAGACCUGGAGCACCAGAAGGAUACAUUGGAAUUCGAGGAGAGACAGAAGAAAUAGCAAGUGGCCUCAUCUGAGAAAACUGAGCCUAAAUAACAUGAAACUGAAUUGUGAGACGACUAAAAGAAAAACAAACUGAUUCAUAGAACUAUCAAACUAUGUUACUCAAACUCUCAAGUGCUGAGUGUUGGACACAGGUCGAUACCCAUGUCCAUAUGGGUUGGACAAGGAUACUUUCAAGAAAAAUAAAAAGACAAAGCAAAAUAGCUUUCAGAAAUACUUAAUCUCAGAUAACAGAAAACAUUAGCUCAAGAAUUUCAGAAAUUUAUAACACAUUUCCUUUUAUUAAAUUAUAAAACAAGACUACAGUAAAAGCCAAAUGAUACUAUGAAGAAAUAAAAAUUGUGCUACCAAAAAAAAACUGGAUGGGCAAGAGAUGGACAAGGAAUCAUCCUUAAAGGUGUUACCUGUAGCCUUGCUCUUCUCUCUUCUUUCCUCUGCGCAAGCGCCACAUAAAGCGGUUUGCUAACAACCAUUUUACCAUUCAUCUCAGCAAGCUGUAGAUGCAAUACAAAUGUACCUAUUAGAUUAUGACCUCAUAUUUUAGAUGACCACCCAAAGGAUAAACAAAUUCAAACUUACAGCACGAGAUGCUUCUUCAGGGGUUGAGAAGGCCACAAACCCAGAGCCCUUACUAAUUCCACUAGGAUCACGCAUAACCUGCAAAGUUGUGAAGGGAAAAGGAAAAUAACUUUAAUAUAAAAUUAGAAACAAGAAAACAGUAGCUAGCAUCAACGAUUAACCAACCAAGAAUCAUUUUACAAACCUUGCAUGAAGUAAUGGUACCAAACUCAGAAAAAAGUUCCUUCAACGCUUCAUCACCAAUACCAUCAUCUAAGUUUUUAAUGUAUAAAUUCAAACCCUGUAACUUAUCAGCAGCUUCCUUCAAAGUCUGCUCAUAUUGGGCUUUUCGUUCAUGCUCUCUUUCAGACUUUUUAAGGGCUUUUCCAACAUACCACUCUUUUUCGUCCAACUUCUUUCCAUUAAGAGCUUCAACAGCUUUAGCAGCAGCAUCAGCAUCUUCAAAGUUGACAAAUCCAAAACCCUUUGACUUCCCAUCUGCAUCCCUCAUAACUACAGCACUAGUAAUUUCACCAUACUCGCCAAAGAUUGUUUUUAAGUCUUCAUCUGUCGUAGACUCGGAAAGAUUUUUCACAUAAACAUUAUUAAAUUUAGUCUUAUCUAGAGCACUGUCUCUUUCCUGCUUACGAAGGAAAGGUCCAACAUAGACCUGCUUGUCAUUAAUCAACAUGCCAUUUAACUUAUCAAUAGCAUUUUGAGCAGAUUCUUCAUUGUCAAAUUGUACAAAACCAUAGCCUUUAGACUGGCCAAAACCAUCAGUAGCAAUCUUGCACGAAAGAAUGUUGCCAAAUGAAGAAAAUGUAUCAUGUAAUGCUUUGUGGUCGAUAGACUUGUCCAAGUUCUGCAGUCGAAAUAAAAAUCAAAGGAUUAGGUAAACAUUGGAAGCCAACUAUAUCACAAGGAGAAACCAUGCAUGCAUGUGAAUGGUCACAACAAAUAGAAAGAAGAAGUCUGAGAAAGGAUACUUGGCAAAUAUAUUUUCAUGAAUACUGAGCAUGGCUGCACAGAUUUGAACAGGUAAGAGAAGGACUAUUUGAAUUUUGAGAUUUCAGGAAAAAAUAAUAGCAGUGAGAGGAAGAAAAGGGGAAAAACAAAUUCAGAAAGACUAAAAACAGAUUAAUACCUUGAUAAAUAUGUUUGCAGCGCCACUCUUACGAAGACUAGGAUCUCGCUGAGAAUACAUGAUGCGAAUAGGCUUGUUAUUCAGUGGAGUGAAAUUAAGUAGAUCCAAUGCCCUAGCCGCUGUAGACAGGAAGAACAAAAGCGCACUGGUAAUUAAUUGAAUAAUUCAAAAGAAUGAAAUUAUAAUUAUCUAAAACACCAACUUGUCCUUUCAAAAGAAAAACCUGAACUUGAAAGAAAUGAAUCAUAAAAAGUUAAUUUCUAGCAUACAAGUUCGAUCCACUCUUGGGGAGUUGCAAACAUGCAUUCUAUAUCUAAAGACUACAUACAUUAUGAGAAGUUCCAAAGCUUUAACCAUAUUUACAUUUCCAAUAAACAUUAACAAUUAACCAUCAGCAAGAAAUACCUAGAUACUAUAAUACACUUAAACUUUGCAAUUAAAUUAGAUUACAAAGUAAUUACCAAUAAUGUUAUACAAUUAUAGUAAUUGCAAUAAUAUCUUUUCCAAUAAAAACUCACAGUCGAGAUGACUAUCAAACAUCUUUCAAUUGUUGAUUAUUUAAUAAAGAGCAAGUUUUUAAAGUUAAGUAGAAGUCUAACCAUCACGAGGAUUGUUAUAGUUGACAUAGCCGUAGCCGAGAGAGCGACCGGUAGCCAAGUCCCGACAAACUCUUACUGAGGCGACCUGAGCCACCUGGCUAAACGUUUGGAAGAGUUGCUCAUCGGUAACGGAAGCAUCAAGAUCCCCAACAUAGAGUGAAGUCAGCAUAAACUGCGGUCCCCCAGGUCCGGGAGCAACGCAGUUUGGCCCGGAAACUGGCGCCUGGUACUGAACAUGAAUUUGCGCCAUUAAAAGAACCCUAAUCCAACUCUUUUAGAUCCUUGUUUUUUAUUUUUCAGUUUUUAAAAAAGUUUUUAUUUCCCUAUCCACUUGUUAUUCAAUCAAAACUGUAGAGAAAAGAAAUAACACAGAUUGAUUCUCGAACUAAAAAAAAAGGAGAUUUUUUUUGUGUGUGUGUUUGGGUAAAAGAGGAAAGGAAGAUAUCAAAUAAGGAUAAAAUCGUCAGAGAUCAGGGGUUGAACGGAACGAUAGAUGACGACGACGAAGAAGAGAAGAGGAAUUUAUGAAAAAUUUUAGGAUUUCAUUUAUAAGUAACAAAAAAGGGUAGGGCAGAACGAACUGCACCGCACCAGUAAAGAAGCAACCGUGUCGCUUUUAUAGGUAGGAAGGUUUUGAAGAAACCCUACCACGAUUCAGGAUGGUAAUCUCUACUGUCAGAUGUUUUUAUGCUAAAAAACCUAACUGUCUGAUGCUGGUGGCAAAAUCAGGUCUUUGCGUGAUAAUUGGGCAGUUAGAUGACACUUGGCAGUGUCAGUAGUCAAAGGUUGCAUCAAGUUUCUCUUCUUUCUUUCCCUAGGGGAAUAUAUCUUUUUACGUCAUCAAUGAAUUAAAUUUCUUUACCUGUAAUUUUAGUUUUAAUCUUACACCGCUGGAUUUUUACUCCAUUAUUUCCUUCUUGUGGAUUGUAUCGGUCUAGUUAGCACCCAUCUUCCUAACUUACGCUCUACCUUUCUUACCAAUUUGUUGUUAGUAGUGUAAAUUAAACAUUGAUGUUGUUAAGUUAGUGGAGCUAGAAUUUAAAAAUACGUAAUCGAUUUGGUAAUUAUUAAAUCGAGUUUGAGUUAUUGGUCAAAUCGAAUUCAAAUUUACUAACAUUCGAUUCAAUUAGCUCACAAUUUUUAUUGAACAUUUUACUUUUGAUAUAUAUAUAUAUAAUUAUUUUAAAUUAUUGCUAUUGAUAUAUAUUAUUAACUCUAGGCUUAACUAGUAAGCUAAGUUCGAACUUAAAUAUAAUUGAUAAAUGUUCAAUCAAGUUUCGAAUUUCGAAUUUAGCUCGACAAUAUUCGAACUCAGCUCGAUUAGAUUGGAUCCCUAGAUGUUUAAUGAUCCUGAGUAUGCAUAAAUGCAGCUGGUGCCAGAUAGUUAAUCUUUUUAUUAUAUUUUUUUUAUUUUUUGGAAUUUUAAAAAAUGAAUUUAUAACAUUUUUAUAUUUAUAAUUUUAUUUGAAUAUUCUAUUUAUCUUUUUAAUCAAGAUAUUGACAUGAUGCAUAUAAUUUGAGUAUUAAAUUUAUUUUUUAAAAUUAAGAUCAUAUGGAUAAAAUGUGGAAACAUUCCAAGGAACAUGUUAUUAUUCCAAAUAAGAAGCGUCAACAUUCCAUUAAUUAUUUAAUGAAUGAGUGAUUAAAGUAUCAAUAAUUAAUGAUAAAAAUAGAUAUACUUUUAUAUGAUUUUCUAUUUUUUUACGAGAGUUUUAAAAAAAAACGUGUGUGUUUUAACUACCAUUCAUAAUGUUUAUAUUUAAAAGUUUGUCUCAUUCCUUUUAAUUAUAUUAUGUGAGAAAAAUUAGUUAAAAUAUAUUUAUAAAAAGUUAUAUAGAAAUGAAUUAGAUUUUAAUUGAAAAGACAAAAUUUAAGCUACGGGAGAUUCUGGUGUCAUAGUAUCAAGUCCUGUUAUUUUUUUAUUUAUUAUAGUUUUAGAUUGUAUUUUAUAAAUAUUAUAUAAAAAUAUUAAAAUAUAUAUUUUUAUAGUAAUAUUUAAGGUAAAUUACACCAUCAGUUACUCAAUUUUGAUGCAACUGAUAAAACAAUCACUCUGGUUACAAUUCAGUCACUUAACUUUCAAAAAAUAACAAAACAAUCACUACCAUUAUAAAAAAGUGACAAAUCAGUCACCUGUUAACAUUUUCCGUCACUAACAUAAUCUUGGGAUUUUGAAGGCCUAUUGAGAAAUCUGAAGUGAGAUUUGAGAAGAGGCAAAGAGAAGCCAUUUGGUGAUGACGGUUGGCCAAAGAAGGCUAUGAACGACGGCGAUUAAAGUUAAGGAAAAAGGAAAAAAAAAAAGAGAGGAGAAGAAGAGAAGAAAAAUAAAAGGGAUAGAGAUUCAAAAGAUAGCUACGAACUGAAUGGUGGCUCCACCUUGGAGGAAUAAAACGACCAUAGCUAAGGUAUCUUCAUUUCUCUUCUUCUUUUCUACUGCCCAGCUAGGGCUAUAGGGCUAUUUAAAUGACAGCCAACCCUCAAACUGGCCAGUUAAUGACAGUAAAGAGUCCAUAAAAUGCCAUGUCACUUUUCCGUUAGUCUAUAACGGAAAAGGGUUAAAAUAAUUGUUUUUUUAUUUUUUAAAAGUUGAGUGACUGAAUUGAAAUCAAAAUGAUUGUUUCGCAAGUUGCAUCAAAAUUGAGUAAUUGUUGGUGUAAUUUACCCUAAUAUUUAUUAUUUUUCUAGAUAGUUGGAUUGAAAUAUUAUCCCAUUAAUUUGUGAGGUUUUUAUAUGGUGAAUAAGUAGAAGGGCUAAGCCUUAAGGACUAAGAAGUAGAUAGAAACAAAGCGGUUACUAGUAACACCCCAUUUAUCUCUUAGUAAGACAUGCAUGAUCCCAACGAGAGGCUGGACAAACUCUUGUAGAAUAAGCUCUACAGUAGUGGACAUAUGCGUCGUGAAGUCUGCUACGUGAUUAGCCUCACUAAAGACAAGGUAUUACUGGACCUCCCACUCUUUUUUGCACAACUGAAUAAUGUUGCGCGCCAAAGGAGCAUGAACACCCUCUCCACUUAUGUUCUUUAUCAAAUGAAUAGCUAAAGACCUGUCACUCUCAAGCAAAACCUUCAUGUAUCCCUCUCGCCAAGCUAUCAACAACCUGUUAUGAAUCGCCCAUAGUUCUGCUCUAAUCGCAGAGCAAACACUAACCCGUCGACAGUAUCCACGGAUCCAACCACCCUCAGCAUCUCGAAGAAGUCCAGUUGCAAUAGUGUCGAAGGCCUCCAAAUGAAGCUUCAUCAGCGUUAAUUUUUAUUCAGUUUUGUUGCGGUGCCGUCCAGCCGAUUUGCCUCCAUUCCGUCUGCCUAGAAUGUUCGUCAUCCAGUUGAAUACCUGUGAAGUUUUCAGCCCAGGUAAGACUUCCUAUUAAGUAAAGCCAUUGACGAACUACUGUCUCCCUGAAAAAUAAAUUCAUUUAUAUCCUUCCAAAUGUUCCAACACACCAUGGAAAAAGAACAUUCCACUCAAUACUAGCAGUCAUAAUUGAGUCAUUCCACGAGAUCAAGAUUAAAGAAUCUGUACAACGGAUGAUAACCAACAUUCUAAAUUUUUAAUCAUUUUGGAGUAGCUAUCACAUUCAUCGCAAAGCUAGUGUCGGAGACAAAGGGUGAACAUCCGAAGAAAUUCAAGCAUUAAUUACUGGACAUUUAGAAUAAGAAACUAAGAAUGAACUGACAAAUACAACCAUAAAAAAUAUAAAAAAGAAAAAGAACUCCAAGAGAAGACCAAGUGGAAGCUUGCAACAAAGAGAAAGAAAACGAAAUUAAAAAAAGAAAAAAAAGUGAACAUAUUCAGUUUCUGGUUAAGGUUGGUUUUGAGGCCUCGGGUGUCAUCUUAGAAAUCUGAACGGUGAGAAUGUAGAAGAGGUUGAGGAGAACAAACUACCUUUGAAUCGAACUGAUUCAACAGUCGAACUUUGAUAUCAGGCAGGGAGAAAUUCAAAUGUUUAAGCACAAAUUAUUCGUGUAGUUAAUGGCAAUUUUUAGAGAAUCCAACUCCGAAUUCAUGUUUAAAAGGUCAAAAAGAGAUUGGAAGAGUUUCGAAGUUUUCCAACCACCGUCGGAGGUGGUAAACAUGAUGGUCCGACGUUAAUUUUUAGGUUAAUGGUUGUUGUUUUCUAGGUUGUUUGAGGGAAAGGCAUGGAGAAAUCUAAGAGAGACAGAAGUGAAAAAGAGAAAACUAAAGAAAAAAAAAGUUUUUGUGGCAUUUAAUUAGAAACUUGAAAGAAAAUUGAAGAGAAAUUACGGUGGUGAGGGUUGUGGGAUAAAUUGAGAUAGUUAGUAAUGUUUUUUUUAAAUCAAAUCGGUGGUAAAAUUGUUUAGUUUAUAGGUAUAUCAGUUUGAUUGAUUUAAUUUAUUCUAUUAAAAAAAUUGGUUUAUUCAGUUCUCAAAUCAACCGAUCCGAAUUGAUCUCUCAAUCUAUUCCUGAAUUGAUUGGCUAGUCUAGUUCGAUUGAAAUAAGGGUUGAGAGAUAUUCAUACUUUUUUCAAAAGAUUGAAGAUAACUUAUUUUCUUGUUUUUAAUAAUAAUUUUAAAGAACGUUUAUUUUUUUUCUAUUUUUAAUUUUUAUUUGAAUAUUUUAUUUUUGACAUGAGAGAUAGUUCAUUUUUUUUUCAAAAAAUUGAAGAUGAUUUAUUUUCUCUUUUUUAAUAAUAAUUUUAAAGAAUGCUUAUUUUUUUCUAUUUUUAAUUUUUAUUUAAAUUUUUUAUUUUUAAAUUAUUUUAUUGACAUGACAUAUAAAAUAAAAUAAAUUGCUACAUUAAUUAUUAGUAUUGAUAGUAAUUAGUUAACUAACUAAAAAAAGGCAAAGUGAUUAACGAUAUAAAAAAAUUUCAAAGGUUAGGGGAGGAUUUGGCAUUAUGCCCCCAAAAAACAAACAAACUACAAACUGGGUCAAAUUCUUAAAAAUAUCAAAUUAAAAGCAGAUGUGCGGUCAGAUCUGAACUGCUGGGCGUUUGCACACCUAAGUAACGGUCCAACAUUCUAGCUGAGUCCAUGUAACAAGACCCGUGAGGUAUGGUUCUGUAAUAUUUUCAGGAUUGAGCCAGUUGGCUCCUUUGGGCUCUUUAGACUUCCAGCAAACUGUUCCCUUUCCCAUUAACUAUUUCUGGUGUGAUUUUCAGCUCAUGUUUCAUGUUCAAUUAAUUAUUUAUUUGAUUUAAAUAGUAGAAAUUUAAAAGUUAAAAUAUAUUCUAAAUUUUUAUAUUUUUUAAAUUUAAAUUUAAAUUUUUUAUUUUUAUUUUUGAUAAUUUAAUACAUUUACUUUUCAUUUUUAAAAAAUUAAAUUUUAUUUUUACCAUCGUUUAAAUUUUUAUAUUAAAUUUAUUGAUUUGACAUUUUAAAAUUUAAAAAAACAAUUCAUUCAGUAAUCAUUUAAUAAAAUAUUACGUUAAAUAUGCUUAUGUGGAUUUUUUUUCUUAAAAAUACUCAUUUCAACUCAUCAUGGUAAAAUACAAACUUUUGUUGGAAUAACGAUCUCAUAAAAAAAUUGAUGUAAACAUUUUAAUCGAAAUAGUUAGCAUCCUUAAUUAUUUCGAUUAAAAUGAUGACGUGAAUUUCUCUUAAAAAAACUAUUCUAACACACAAAAAUAAAAUUAUAACAAAUUAAAAUAUAAUUAUUAAAUUCUAAAUUUAAAUAUAAUAUAGCAAAAGAAUCAUAACCAUAAUUUGACUUCAAAUAAUUUAUACCUAUAAUAAUCCUUUAUCAUUUGAUUGAAUUUUAAUGAUAUUAUAAAUAUAGAUAAACAAAGUAAUAAUAAUUAAAGUGAAUGAAUUAAAUAUCUCAAAAAUUAAAAUUUAACCACUAUCUAAAAAAAAGCAAAUGAAUACAAGAUAAAAUUAUAAAAUUUGAAAGAGUCAAAAUUAAAAAAUGUGAGUUAAAAAGUUUAAAUUAAUUUAUUAUUUUUUAUAGUAAUGAAUAAUAUAAUUAUUUUAUUUAAUAAAAAGCUAAAAAAAACCUUAAAUUUAAUGUUAUAAUUUUUAAAGGAGCCUAAAAGUAAUUCUCCCAUUCAGCCAAGACACCGGCAAGGCAAUGGUCCCUUGCCAUGAAAAGGUAGAAGUAAAUGUAUUUAAAAUUAAAAUUAAAAUCUCUUGGUCCAAUGGUAAUUGUAGGUAUGAAAGUUUGGGUUCGAUCUCAAUCAACCUCAUUCUUCUCCCUUAAUUAUAUAAAAAGUAAAAAUAAAAACUUUACGAGAAACUUAUAUAUAAUAUAUUUUAUAUUAUCGAUUAAGUUUUAGUUUAGUUGACAUUAUUACUAUUGUGAUAUUAAAGAUGAUACCGGUUCAAGUGUGUUUAAAUACGUUUUUCUACUUCAUUAAAUAUAUUUUUAGUUAAUUUUAAUUUUAAUUAUAAAAUAUAUUUAAAGUUAUAAAAAAAUGUUAAGUUAGAAAAAGAUCUUUUAAGUUAGAUUUAACUUUGGAAAAGUAAUUUCUUUUAUUAUUAUUUACGUUUGGCUUGAGUAAGGAAAACAAAUAAAUUUAGAUAUUGUAUUCUUUUAUAAAUACUAAAAAAAUUAUUAAUUUUUAUAACAAAAUAAAAGUUAAAUCAUUGAUUGAAUCUUAGUUCAGUUAGCAUAGACAUUGUUGGCAAAAUAGUUUGACAUGGAUUCGAGUGCGAUAAAAUACGUUUAUCCUCUUAUUUAAGGAUUGAAAAAAGAUUAUGGAUAAUUCUAAACAUUUUAUAAUAAAAAAAUACUUAUCUUAAAAAAUUAAAUUUAUAUUGUAAAUAUCAUAAGUAAAAUUGCAUGUGUAAAGUUGCAUGCAUAAAGUUUUAUUAUUAAAAAAAUUAUAAUAUUAAAAAUAAAUAAAAUAGACAUAGAACUUUUUAUAAUUAAAAAUAUGUAUUAGUUAUUAUAACAAUUAAAGUUUGUUUUUGUUGUGAAUAUAUAAUGAAAAACAUUAAUAUCAUAAUUGAUGUAAGUAUAUAUUCAUUUAAUUGAUUAAAAAUUAAUGUAAUAUAGAUUUUAAAGUAAUAAAUUUGUUAUAACCAUCAUGAGUCCCUUACACGCGUCCUUAACAGGCAUCGAUAUUAUUGUGGAUGACCUCAGUCCUCUUCAAUUCAGCGUUGUCAGGGGUAUUACGACUUUCAAGUUUCGAUAUCACGAUACCCCCUUUUAAGUAAUGUUUUCGCUCACAUUCAAGCCUCCGAUGACUCCUUACAACACUCAAUUAAUUAACCAUUAGGUUCCUUAUGGCAUAUUUGACCAUUUUUGGGUCACAAAAGUGACAUAAAACGCAUUGUUUCACCUAUUAACGCAAAGAACGAAGGCUAAGUAAAAAUACAACAAAAUAAAACAUAUAAAUUGCUCAAAAAACAAGCUCUUUAAGCAUAAUGGAAAGCCUAAUUUAACAUAUCAAAUUAUGACAAAUCAUGAAGAUGACAAAUUCAUCUUCCCCUCCACUAAAAUUUACUAUUUAUAUUUUAAUUAAUUGUAUAUUAAAUUAAUUAAUCAUGAUUAAUACUUUAAUUAACCUUAUUUUGUUCUUUAAUCUUAAUUAGAUUAAAUUAAUUCUUCAUCAUCGACCACUAACAUUAAUAGAACAAGCUUUAAUAAGCAUUUCAAACCUUUGAAUAAUUACUAUCUAAGUCCCUAAGUCUUUUUUAAUUAAAACUCAAUAACGACUGGACUUUUACAAUUUAGUCCCUAAGUUUUAAUUAACUACUUUUUCAGCUAAAUAUGUAACACCCCUAACCCGUAUCCGUCGUCGAAACAAGGUUACAGAGUAUUACCGGGGUUUACGUAUCAAUCAGACAGAAAUUUCAAACGUUUCAUUACAUAUCAAUUUUCAUAAUAAAACCAAUCAAAAUCAUAUAUAUUGUCCCUUAAACGAGCCCUUAAGGCCCGAAAUAAGUAUUAGAAACAAGUAGGGACUAAAUCGGAAACUCAGAAAAUUUUUCGGAAACAUUUAAAAUUUUCAAGAGUGCAGAGGUCACACAACCGUGUGGCCAGGCUGUGUGACUCACACGGUCAAGAGACAUGCCCGUGUCUCAGGUCGUGUCCGUGUAACUCUUUGACUUGGGUUACACGGCCAAGUCACACGCCUAUGUGCUAGGUUGUGUGAGCAUACUGACUUACAUUCUUAAGAAGAUACAGGGGACACACGACCGUGUUACUUGGCCGUAUGUGACACACGGCUGAGACACACGCCCGUAUCUCUACCCGUGUGGACGAAAAUAGGUCAUUUUCUGAGCCACAUUUCUCACCCAAAUUGACACCAACAUAGCAUCAACAAAAUUACAAAUGAAGAAGCCAUAACAAAGCAUUCAAAACAAGCUAAAAUCAAGUCUCAAACAUGUAUUAUCACCACAUACAUCCAAUAUUCCCUUAGGCACCUCAAAUGACAACUUUAAAAAAAAAAAAACAACAUGUCAACUAAGUAUUCCAACUUACCUAAUUAAUUUACCUAACCAAUUUACCAAAGUUCACUACAAUUCAAAUACAUACAUACAUACAUACAUACAUGCAUGCAUACAUACAUACAUACAUACAUACAUACAUACAUACAUACAUACAUACAUACAUACAUACAUACAUACAUACAUACAUACAUACAUACAUACAUACAUACAUACAUACAUACAUACAUACAUACAUACAUACAUACAUACAUACAUACAUACAUACAUACAUACAUACAUACAUACAUACAUACAUACAUACAUACAUACAUACAUACAUACAUACAUACAUACAUACAUACAUACAUACAUACAUACAUACAUAUAACACUCAUACUCACAUCACAAUUAUACCUUAACAUCAUACCGAUAUGUAAGUUGAUCAUAAUAUUUACAUAAGCUAAACUUUGACUAAAACCAUACAAAAGCCUAUACAUGUCAUAUAAACCGUAUUGAACGUUUCAAAAACUACCGAGAUAAGUUGGAUAGUGUGACUUGAGUGCUGAUCCGAUUGUCCAACCUUCCGAAAAUCUAUAGUGACAUUAAGCAAUACAAAUAAGCUUAAUGAAGCUUAGUAAGUUCAACGAGUUAAAUAAGAAUCUUACCGAACUAACUAUAAUGAAUAAAGUAAUAAAAAUCAUCCAUGACAAUUCUCUGUCAUUUAUAACUUCAAACGAUAAAUACAUCUGUAUUUAAAUCAAUACAAAAAUAAAUAACAUGUCUUUCAAAUUCAUUAAAUAAAUCACCUUACUGAGAUUUCUCCAUUCAAAAAACAACUUAUGGAUAAGAGUACAUCGUUCGCAGAAGCUUUAAAGCUGAACAGAAGCUCGUAAGCGCUGAUCCACCCAAUUAUGCCAAACAGAAAGUAAAACACGAGAGUUCGCAACAAAUGCCGAACCCCAGUUUACUUGGGAAUAAUGCCGGUGUCUCCCUCCAAUACCAUCAUACACCAAAUUAUGAAUGUACUCAAAUCUCGUGUUCAAUUCAAACCGAAUAUUCAAUUCAAUAUUAUAAUUCUUAUAACAAUUCAUUUCCAAUAAUAGAAUAAAUGUAUAGUACCAUUUAUCAAUUUAUAAAAAUGUUAAAUUUUAACCGUACGAACUUACCUGGACUAAAUUGUAGUAAUUGUAGAAGUUUAGGGACUAUUCAGCUAUUUUUCCUUUUUCUCUAGUAUCUAGAGGAUCUUGAUCUAGAAUAUAAAAAUUAUUAAUUUAUUAGCAUAUAUUUCAUUUUCAAUUCAUUUUACAAUUAAUACCCUUUAUUCUUUGAAUUUACGCAAUUACCCUAAACUUUUACAAUUUUUGCAAUUUAAUCCCUUAAUUUGUUAAUCUAUCAAAUUAACUAAAUUUCUCAACCAAUAAUCUAUCCAAAUAUUCUAGGCCCUCAUACAGCCCUUAAUAUACCCAAAAUUCAAUAUCAAACCCUAAUAUUUUAACAUUUUCACAAUUAAAUCCUAAAAUCAAUAUUUAACAAAAUCACUUUACAAAAUCAUUAUACAACACAAUCAAAGCUCUAAAUCCAUGUUAUUCAUCAAAAACAUCUAAUAUUUAUCAAUGGAAACUUCCCAAAUUUUUAAUAAAAUCAAAAACGAUGAAGAAACGGGUAAGAAUUGAACUCACAUGAAGCAAAAAUAUGAAAAACCAGCUUAAGGCUCCCUCCUAUGGUGGUUUAAGCCGAAAAUAGAUGAAGAAAUGCAUAGGAAACCUUUAAAUUUUAAUUUGUUUGUUUUUAAUUUCAUCAAAAUUUCAAUUUUGUCAUUCAAUUCUUUUAUUUUAUUAUUUUUCCUUAAAUUUCCGCCCCACCUUUUUAAUUUAGGUUUAUUUAUUAUUUAAGUCCUUCCUUAUUUAUUAAUCAAGUCAUUUAAUCACUUAAUUAUUAUAAUUAACAAGUUUUACACCUUUUUUAAUUUAGUCCUUUUUAAUUAAUUUACUAUUGAAACGUUAAAAUUUUUCAAUGAAACUUUAAAACCACCUUAAUGAAAUUUCGUAAACAUUUAUAAAAAUAUUUACGGCUCGGUUUAUAGAAACAAGGUCUCGAUACCUCACUUUCUAAAACCACUUGACCUAGGGUCUUACCACUCGAACCUAAUAAAUCAUUAUAAAACACAAAUUACGAAUUCAAAAACCUUUUUAAAACCAUAUUUGACUCGUAGAUAUUAAAUAAUAAUAUUUACAAACUUACUAGCCGGAUUUGGUGGCCUCGAAACCACUAUUUCCGACACCAUCGAAAAAUCGAGCUGUUACAAAAUAUCUUUAUUAUAUUUUCAUAUUAACUCUGUAAAUAAUUUUGUUUUCUAUUUACAGACUGAAUUUACAAAAAUGAGGUUUUAAAAUCGUAUUUACUGACACCACUGGAAUUCGAGUCGUUACAUGAGAUCAUUACAAUAGGAGCUCAAAACAUCUCGUGCCUAAAUGUAGAAAAUUCAGGAGGAGCACACAAUCCAUCUUCAGUAUGCUAGCUAGAGAGGAUGUUGACGCUUAUGUUGUAUAAAAAUUUUGCUUGGAUUUGAAAUCUAUAUUUUGUAAAGGCAAGUGAAAAAACACAUCAGUUCACUAAAAGUUUAGUCUUACUGUUCAAUGUCAUGUUCAGGACAGUAAAGCAGAAACGAAAAAAGCUGAGAAAGUAAAGAGAGAUUUGCACACAACCAUUUAUUAACGCAAUUUGGAAACAAUCUUACUCUGUGGAGACUCACUUAGUGAAUAACUUUAUUCCAAAAUUGAUCCAACCACCUAUUGGCUAAAUUAAAGUCCAAUUUACCCUUAAACAAAAAAGUAAUUGUAACCCUAUUACCCUAAUAACUAGUCGCAAUUUAUUAUAAUUCUACUUACCUAAAAUCUCACAUACACAUGUUCAAUCCUUCACAAAGAAUACCUAUUAAACAAGAGCAAAAAUACAAGGGAAAAUAUUAAAAAAUAAUCAAACAAUUUAGCACAAGAGUAUCUUAAAUAAGUGCAUCUUUUAUGCGUAUUAGCUGCCUAUUUAUAGGUUUAAUAUGGUAGCUUCUUCGAUCAUCAUAGUCCAAUAUAAACUUGUAUUCUUCAAUAAAAUAAUCAAGAUAAAUAACCUCCAAUAUUAUCUCAAGAUAAAGUAGAAUUAAUCUUAUAAAAGUCAACCAUGAUAUACACCUUUGAGAUUGAGAAAAUUUCUCACCAAAAACCCAAGUAAAAAACAACUUCUUUUAACACACUCAAACUGUUCAAAAUAAAUACUACUUCAUACUAGCUUUAAGGAAAGAGUGAAGAACGUCCAAGAAGCUAAUUUGCUUAUUAAAACAUCCGAUAAAGCCCAAGUAAAAAAUGCCAACAUAUAAAUAUGUCCAAGUUAUCUCAUAUCUCGACUGAUCAAGUCUAUGAUCAGGUCAUUGAACAAAUAUUGCUAGACAAGCUUGGCUCUAACAAUCGCCUUAGCUUUUUGACCAAACAUAAGAAAAUGGUUUCACUUUUACUCCCCUUAUCAACAUGCCAUCAUCAUACAUGAGAUGCCAAAGAUAAGCUCACAUGAAAGAUGUUUUAAUGCAUCAUCGUUAUUUUGCUCACAUAAGCCAAAAUUGCAACAAAUAACCAUCAAGCCAUCAUCAAGGACAAACCAUGAGCAAAUCACAAAAGUAUAUCAACAGGAACGUCUAGAUAGACCAACAACAUAGCAGCACAUGAAACCAAUCAGCUCACCCUCACACCAGCAACUAUUCUCCCCCGUUAACCAUGCCAAGAUCUUCAAUGUAGCAACAAUAAGACAAAAUCAUUAUCUCAAAAUCCCCCUAACAUUAGCAAACCAUACUUCUCCCCCCUUUUUGUCAAAAAGCUUAUAACAACUCGCCCUACCAUGAUGUUCUCUCUAUAUUGCAAAUAAGCUCACCCAACCAAGCAAGAGUAUCAAGCCAUUCUUCAAAAAAAGAUAUGGCACCAAGGUAGAGAAAAAAAACAUAACAACCAACCGCAAGCAUAAACCAAUCAAGCUCCCCAAAAAAGAACCAAUAGCAACAGUAAAAAAUCACCAACAAAAAUCAGCAACAGCAAGUACACCAUCAAUUUAUCUCCCAUGUUCUGUUUUGUUGUGUUCCAGUCUUUGUUCGAACAAGAGUUUGAACAAACAUAUAUGUUUCAUCAGCAUAAACAUCAAACUCGUAUUCUUGUGAAACAAAAGCAACCACUCAGUCAAAACAUCUUAAAUGCAUAAACCAAAAUCAGAAUAAACAUAAUCUAAACCAUACCAAAAUCAGCAAACUUACUCUAUGCUCCCCUUGUUUGUUUGUCUCAAGUUUAUUCAAGGAGAUGGGGUGCAACCUUUUCAACAACAAGGAUUAAAGCUCGUGCAAUUCAAAAAGCCAGAAGUUUGGAAAGACAAACAUGAUUUACUUUAUUUUCAAACAUUUGUUCUAAAAGCUAAAAUGAAUAUUUGAAGAAUUUAAGGGACUAAACAUAAUUUAACCAAUUUUUAAAAUUUUAUUCUAAGGGUUAAAAGUAAACUUCUGUAAAAUAUUUUAGGGACCCCCCUGCGUGGUCCUCUCUCCUAAGUGCCUUGCUGGUUCUUCCAGGUGCUCACCUGAUGUUGCUAUUGUUAAAUAUAGUUUACAUAGAUGCUUCGGUAUUGUCAAGGUUCUUUUAUGGGAUUUUAACGAUGAAAAACUGUAUUAUUCCGGAAUUAACGUCAUAUCAACACUUUUUCUUGCUUUCUUGCUUUCUUGCUAGGUUGGGGUUUGGGUCAGUGGCACGCCCGGUGCUCUUGAAUGCGCAUUUUAAAAUCUAUGGCCUUGGGGGAGGGGGGGGGGCGUUAGGUAGCUUCCACCUGGCUGGAGGUAGCUAUUUCCUCAUACUGAAUGCGACAUAUAUUAUAGUUUUUCCUCGUCCAAAACACUUAUCUGCAACAAAGCCGGAAAAAAAGCCACUACUUUUCUUUUAUUUUUCCACAGGCUUUUUUUUGAAUGGUAUUCAGUGAUUCAUUCCCGGUUAUCGAGAGUGAACCCUCCAUUUCCAUUUGAAAUACAUUCUUUGGGAUACUUAUGCCAUAAAUUUCCUUCCCUUACCUUAUGAUCAAUAUGUGGCCCACGGGCACACUAUAACUUUUGCUUUUAAAUGCAUAUAUAAAUAGUUGAUAACACUUCAAUUAACUGACCAGUGGUGAAGUAAAUAGAUAUAGAUAUAUAGUAGCAAACUUUAUAGAUGCCUUCCCAGCAAUGGAAUCAUAAAGAAGAUAGAUCAUGCAGUUUAAUUUAUUAUUUAAAGGCACCCACCAUCGACCUUCUUUUGUUUUCAAUUUUGAAAAAAAUAAUAAUAACACCCAAGAGUAAGCAUGAGGGUAUAGGCUUAGCUUAAGGGGAGUAUAUAGUAGUAGGUACGUGGACUUCAGUGUCCAUGGAUGACUGCUUUUAACCUAAAAGCUUCAUUUCAAUCAGUUUCUUCCCCUUUAGUCAAAGGGAUCACACACCCAAAAGAAAUUCACCAGAUGAGAGAAAGAUCGAAUAAAGAGUGACAUAAAUCCGCUUUGGUUUCAAGUCAGGAAUAAAUAAGCAGUAGAGUUAAGGAGAGACAACUUUGUCUUUCUUCUUUCCCGAAACAAAAGAAGAAAAAAAGGAAAGAAAAAAGCUAGCACAUAUCAUCAUCAUCAUCUACUUCAAAGCAGAUCAUAAUGGGAACAGAGUUUUGGUUUUCUAACAGCUUUCUUUUUUUCUUCUUUUUGGUUUGGGUCUAUUUGUUUUAUUUUCAAACCCUUCAUCUGCCUUCCGGGUGCAAUGGGAAUAGCUCCAGAGUUCUGUUUUCCUGCUCUUUACAUGGGGAUAUGCUUUGUUCAUCCAAGUACUCAAAUGACCAGCUCUUGCACUUCCUCUUAUAUGGACUAUCCUCAUCUGAUCUUUCCAUUAUUUCCAUCUAUAAGAAAAAUUAAUGAAUGAUAAUUUGGUAAGCUUUAUGUUAGAGAGAGAGAGAGAGAGAGAGAGAGAGAGAGAGGAAGGAAUAUGAUUAAUAAACCAGGGGACGUUGAUGUACCCUAGUAUCCAAAGUUAUGGUAGUAAUGGGAGGUGAGUUUCUGGGACAAUUGGUAAGGCCAAGGCUGUUGCGCUUCAUCUUCUGUCUCUCGCGUGCUUUGUGGUUUUGGAACCAGUAGAAAACGUUUUUGCCUUCGAUCUUGCCGUAUUUCCCUAGCUGCGCAGUGAUUUUUUCUAUUUGCUGUGCAUUUGGAGUUCGCAUCCCACCUCUAUACAGCAUCUCUAAAAUCCCUAUCUGUUCUUGCGUAGGAUUCCAUCGCGUACCACCAGGGUGCGUUUCCACCUACAUGAUAAAAGUUUCUCAUAAAUUACGUUACAUCUUAAAAGAUUAGGAGAUGUCAAUUAAUUAAGUUCGAAAAUUCUCCUGUCAUCCUUCUCCUCCAAUUACCGAUAAAAAAUUGGGUUUCAUUUCAUCGUACCAUUUCCAUAAUUGUACAUGUAUAUAUAUAUAUAUAUAUAUUGCAUACUCAGAGGCAGGUCACUGACAGGUUGGUUUAUUUAUCAAUUAGUUUCGGAAUAAUGUAAAAAAAAAAGAAGUGAAGAGAACAUAGGAUAUAUAAGAGUGAAGGUACAAGGAAUUAAGUAAGGAAAUCGGGUACCUGAGGAGAAUCUCGCUUCUGGUCAGAGGGGCCAAGCUUUCUAGGGCCACUUUCGGGUCGAAUGAAGCUCUUAAGAUCGAAAGAGGAGACGGUAUCAGUGGAGGAGGUGUGCUGCUGUAACUUGGGAGCGAGAGGGCGUAAGCGCUUACAGCCAAGGGAGAGAGAUGGUUCGUGCUCCCAGAAUCCACGUGCCAACUGAUGUACCUUCAUGUUUCCCACGGUGAAGGAGUGAAUGAUGAAGUGUGGUGAAUUAUAUAGAAGAUUGAGAUGAAUCCCAACUCCCCCCCACUCCCUCCAAAAAAAAUAAAAAGACAAGUGGGAUAUGAGGUGUUGCUUUGAAGAACCAAGACCAAAUGAUGAGGUGAGGUUGACUUAUGAUUUCCUCUUAUUUUAAAAAACCAAAAGAAACAAAGAGAAAAAGAAAAGAAAAGUGUUGGGGGAAAAAAAUAAAGGAAACAGAAGGCCAAAGAGAGAAAGGUUUUUAGGGAAUGAGCCGUGUGGGUGACUGCAUGAGGUAGUAAGUAAGUGCGUGUGGGUUGGCCAGUCUAAUCCAUGGGUUGGGAUUCAAAUUUUCUUUCUUGCUUUCAUGAUAAGGUGUUCUUGCUUUUCGGUGCCCUCUUCCUUUUUGCUUCUCACUCAAACUUUGUUUUUAUUUUAUCUUAUUUAUAAUAUUUCUCACCAAAAGAUUCCUCCAAUCCCAAAACUUGAAAAUGGAACUCUUCCUUUACUUUCCAAGAUACGGAUAUGGUGAGCGACAAAGGGAUAUCAUAUAGUGAAGGCCGUCGCCUAUAUAUCACAGGGUAUAGACUAUAGAGCAGAGAAUGUUGAAAUAACCACACCAACCAAUUUAAUAUAUAAAUAUUUGAGUGCCUUGACAAAUACCCCCAUGGCUGUUUGGGGUUUCACUUUCAUCCCUCUACUUUGGGAACUGUUGCUCCCAUUUUCCCAUAUUCAAUAUUCUAAUCUUCAAAAACCAACAAACCCCACUUUUUGUGUGUGUUUUUUUUGGUUAAAAUCUCUCGGGUGUGGCACCUACCAUGCAACAGAUACAUUAAAGCAAAGUAAAUGCAUGUAUAAUAAAUACGUAUAAAAUCAAAGUGUGGUAAAUCAUAAUUGCAUGUUCCACUUUGUAUGAUGAGGUUUGAACAAACAACUGGAUUUUAUGACCACAAUCACAAAGAGAAGCAAUUGAUGGGGUUCAACACGUGUGACCCAAACCACACAUGUGCUUCAAUCAUGCAUGCAAACAUUUCAUUGUCAUAAAUAUAUAAAAAUAAUAGUAGUAGUAGUGGUUGUUUUAAUUGUCUAACUUCAUAUUAACUACUACCAAAACAAUUACAGUAUUACUACUUAUUUAAGGUUUUUUUUUCUUUGAAAAGAAAAAGAAUACAAAACAAUUAAAUUAAUCCUAAACUUCUGUUACGAAUCAUCUUGACAAGAUUAUCUGCGAUUGUGUUUUCUUCUUGGAGAAUAUGAUGAAUUUUCCACUGCUUUCAUUUGACAAGUGCGAAAUUAAAAUUUUCAGAAAAACUUUCUUGAACGGCAUUCACAACCCAAGCCCGUAAAAACAAAAAAACAAACAACCAAGUAAUAAAAGAAAAUCACACAGCGCCAUUAUUAGUUAAUGGUCAUUCCCAUGUUUUUCACAACAAAUUUUGUUUUUUUAUUUCUUGUUUGCUUAACCACAUUUUUUAUGAAGUCAAUAAUCAUACAUAGAACUUCGGACGUCCCCUUCUUUGAUUAUUAUUAUUUUUUUCAAAUUUUGGGUUAAAUUUCCGAUGACCAAAAAUGAAUAUUAGCUUCAAGAAACCAUGACUAAAAUGCAUGUAUUUGCAAACUUUUGAAUUUUCUUUCAAAUAAAGUUUUAUCCUUGCACUGAUUUUGGGGCUGAUAAUAUGACAGUUAAUACCAAUAAUGUUAUCCCUCUAUAAGAAUAUACAUGCAUGUUACAAUAAUUUUUGUAGAAGUUAGGAAAAAAACCAACCAAACAUAAACAUUUUCUUUUAUAUAUUUAUAUUAAAUAUAUUAAAGUUAAAUAAGGUUUUGGUCAAAAUAAUAAAUUUACAAUAUUGAAACUUAUGAUGUUUUCAGUUCAAAUCGUAUCAAGUAUAUUUUCUAAAUUUUAUAUGAUUUUAAAACAAUAAAAAUAUUCAAUACAAUAAUAUAUGUUUUUCUAUAAAAGAAAUACUUUUUGAUAAUUACUCAGUUGAGUUUUGAUCGAUAAUCCAACUCAACCGAUUAUUUCAAUAUAAUAUAGGUUAGAAGAUAUAUAAUACAUUUCUAUGAAUAUAUAUUAGAUUCAUGCAUCAAACAUAAACAUUUUAAAAAAUAAAAAUAAGCAAAUUAAGAGAAUUCCGUAAAUUUUCAUUUUAAUCUCUCUAAGUAGUUUUAAAUUUUAUUUAAAUUCUUAUGUUUAUUAUCUAAAAAUAUGUUAUUUUAUGUUUGGGCCUCAAAAUUUUUAAAGUGACUUUUUUUUACGGAAUUUGUAGAUUUUAUGAUAAAUGUAGUAACAUAUUUAGUUUAAUUUGGUAAACUAAUAAAGUAGUAUCUUAAUAUUAUAUUUAUGAAAAGGGAGAGUAUUUGAUGCAUAGGUCUCAUACACCAUCAAUUAAUAAUAAGAUGGCAUAUUGUCCCUUAUGUAAAACAAAAUAAUAUUAAAGGGUUUAAAAAUAAAUAUAAAUAACUUUAUUUAAAAAAAUAAAUAUUACUUAUAAUUGUUAAAGAUAAAUAAAUACAAAAAAAUCAAAUCCGAAACCCAAAAACCAAAACUUAAAAUCUAAAAUUUGGAACUCAAGACCUAAAACCCCAAAAAAAACUUGUUUUUAUUUGACACCAAUGAUGAAGUGUGGUGGUUAAAUCCUUGUUUGCAUCCCAAAAUCGAAGUAUAUAGGAAAAAAAUGAUAUUUAUUUAUUGUUCCUAAUUAUAUUAAUUUAAGUAGCCAAGACUAACCCAAAAUUGAAAAGGAAAAACUUGUUCAAAGUAUACGAAAAAUAUGAACCCAACCUACUUUAAACAUGUUUAUGUACUUUAUAUAAAAAUUUCGCCCCAUUAUCAACAUUUUUGACUUCCCCUUCCUUUGAGGAACAGAAUAAUUGGAUUGAAAAUGUCGUAUAUGCUUAAACUAGAAAAGAGCAAAAACUUCGAAAUGUGAAAUGUAUACCAAAAUUCUAACAAAGAAUGCUGUACUGCAAUUGCAUGUGUCUACUGCGCCCAUAUAGCUAUCCCUUCUUUCUAUCAUCAAAUAAAUAUAUAGGAUUCAACAUUUGAGAUUUUGUUGCCGGGUGCAGAUCUCAUCUUUCUCUUUCGACCCUUGGACUUGGGCAUGCACUGCCAAGAGGAUCCUGACAUUGACAACUUUGCCUGCAAACUGUUUGUAAAAACAUUUCUUUUGCUAAACAGCUCAUUCAUUUUCAUCCCUAGGCUCUUUCAGGGUCCAAUGACAAACUUGGACAUAAAUGUGUACUUGAUUUGAUCUCAUCACCUGGACUCACUCUACCAUCUAUUUUUUAAUUACUACAACAUUUUUCAUUGUACCUUAAACCGUCUGUCUUCUGUAAACCAAAUUGCCUUCAUCUUUGUACGAAAACAAAAUUGAAAUUUGAGGCAAAAAGAUUGAAUUAAUUAUUUGUAAGUAGCAUGUUUAGUAAAUUAUAUUUAAUUAAUUAAGGUAAUUUAAACACUUCCAAUUCUUAUAAAGGGUUGUGAAUUGAGAAAUUAGAUGAUUUAGAAUUUUUUUAUUAAAAUAUGAAAUUAAAUUAAAUUAAGAUAUCCCUACCUCCAAUCAACCAUAUAUUAUAUGAAAGUAUUUUUAAUAAUUAACAAAUAACCAUCUAAUAAUUUAUUAUUUAUUAUUUACAAUGAGUCUGUAAAGUCCAAAUACAAUGAUAAAUAACAGCUUCUUCAAGGAAUUUACUAGAUAACGGUUUAGCUGUCAAAUGAAAAGAUGCUUGGUAAAUAUAUAUAUAACUGCCAGUUAAUUCCUUGAAAAGAGAAAGAUUACUUGGAAAAGGUGAUGGAUUUCGAGGUUAACUACGAUUGGCCAAGUGGUCAUUCCAGCUUGACGACAAUGGGUGGGAUAAUCAUAUCAGUGUUGACAUCUAAGAUUAUGAGUUGAGCUCCCUAUUUCAUUUUUUCUUUUGGCCUCACGUAACCUUCAUCCCCACAAUUGAUCACACCGUUUCCUUCAAUCACGACAAAUCUUUUUAUAUAUAUUUUUCCCACACUAAUGUUAAUUUCUCUCCCCUACUUGGAUAGGCAGCCAUAAUUCUGUACCUAAUCUUAUUUUAUUUUGCAAUUAUAUAUCACAUGCAUGUCAAGCUAGUUACCUUACUUUUUCCUUGUUUGUUUGCCGUCUACAGCUUCUUUAUGCUACAUUAAUCAAGCUUUUCAUAAUAACUUGUCAAUUUUGUUUUUGAUGUCUACUAUAUUAAUUUUUAUCAUACAUGUUCAUGUCCGGCAGCUGUAAACACAUUCGUAUUUAAAAACGAUAAGUGAAAAUGUUGUAAUAUCUAGUUAUAUAAUUGAGAUGAACACAUAUAUUAAUUCCAUUAGGAUACCUUCAUCACUUCACUCUAUUAAACAUAUCUUAUUACGAUUACGUUUUUCAUUGAUUUCUUUUGUCACAAAAGUUAUUUCAUUAGGGGUCAUGUAAGUCAAUUAUUUUUUGUCACUUAACCACUCUGACAAGACAUUUAUCACUUGUCACUCACAUAUUCUAUAAUCUAGUCACCACAUGCCACAUUAUCAACCUAACAAAGAAUUAACAAAUGACAGGUUGGCUUAUCAUGAAGCAACCCUUAUAUAUAUAUAUAUUGUUGACACAUUUGAAGGCAAGGCUCAUUGUGUGUUGUUUUUGUGGCUAAAACUUUCAAACAUUAUUUCAUUGUCAUACUUACCAUUUUGAAUAGUUGGCAGGUCUUAAAGCAAAAGCAUUGAGCUAUUUAUUUUUUAUGAUUUUGGAUGAUUAAAACCCAACACAUGAAGACCAGUUGAGUUGAAAUUGAAGACUUAAAGAUAGAUUUCUUGCAAGUUAAAUCAGGUUACUUGCAGAACAAGUAAAAUCACUUUCUAUAGUUGAAGACUUUGGAUUACAUAAAGAUUCUUAUGGAAGUUUUAUCUUAUGCUGGUUUUAGUCUAUAUAGAAAUUGAUUAGAUUAUAACUCUUAUGUAAACAAAACUUAAGUUUUGCCUAUAUUAAGUGAGUAACCGAGAGAUUGAGAGUUUGAUAGAGUAUAAAUUUGUUCAAGUUAGGAAUGCGUAUGUGUGCAUUAUUUCUAUAAGCAAUCAAUAAAGUUUCUUGAAUUGCAAAGCUAAGCUUUCGAGGGGAAAGCUUAGUGGGAGAGUGAUCUAGUCUUUUACAACAGUGAGGUCGCUAAAUUAGUGAGAGUUAGGCUAGUGUUAAGACUUAAAUCAUUGGUUGUAUUGUGAGAAAGAUAAUGGAUCAUUGCUCUAGAAAAUGCCUCACAGACAUAGAUUGAGAUCGAACUGUGUAAACAAUCUCGGUGUUCAUCUUUACUUUUUUUGCACUUUUGAUUUCAUGGUUGAAACCAUGGCUAUAGUUCCAAUCACCAUUUUAGCCAUAGUUUCAAUUUACUAAGCAAGUAACCCCCUUGUUUCUACAUAUACAUCUCCUACUCCUAAAUAGAGGAGGAAUCUCUCUUGGGCUUUUUCUUUCUUCCUCUAGUGGUCAUCUUCUUCUUUUGGCUCGCUGCUUGUCACUACAAUACUUCAACCAUUCCUCCCUAUCUUUACUUUACGGCUCUCUACCCUUAUUGUAUUAGGUUAAAAUAUGUCAUAAGUCCUUGUGCUUUUAGUAAAUUUAGAAUUUAGUUACUAUAUUUUUAUUUCUAAGAAUUUAGUCCUUUCACUCUUUAGAUUUCAAAAUCCAGGUCCAACUAUUAAUGUUAUUAAGAUUAUUUGGUUAAAUUUAGAUUCAUUGCAACAUUAGUUUUUUAGUUACAUUGAGUAUUUUUUUUAUUUCAAAAUGUCAAGUCAAUAGAUUUAACAAAAAAAUAAAAAAUAUCAAUAAUUAGAACUGAAUUUUAAAAUCUGAUAAGUAGAAUGACUAAAUUCCAAAUUUGUAAAGAGUCACAUACCUAUGGCACAUUUUAACCAUCGUAUUAACUAUGUUUUCUCUAUUGCGGGUCAUUUUCCUCCAAUCCCCAUUUUUACCUUCCAUAAGAAUCACAGCGUUUCUUUAUCUUGCCCAGUUAAAUUAAUUAAACAUGAUCAUGUUGAAGAGUGAAACUAAAGAUGAUUAUGGUGAAUUAGUUCCACCAUGGUCAUUUAAGCAUAUGGAUGGGGAUAUUAUGCUAAAGUCACGGUUGAUAAUGGUACUACAAAAUAAAUAGGUAGUAAAUGUGGAAGUGGGGUCUUCGCAAUGAUUCAACAAAAGCAGGUGCCACAUUCUGGAUCACAAAUCAUCCAUCAAACACUUAAGUAAAUUCAAUUUGCAGGCUCCAAAAUCCAAAUGAAGUAAAAAUCCCAUUGUCAUAUUCUCGAAUAAAAUGUUGAGUUGAUGAACCAAUAAUAGCACUGUAAAUUCGUAUUUUAUAUAAAUUUAACAUCUUAAUAAUAAUUUAUAAUAUAUAAAAUGAUGAUGAGAUUGCAUAUAUGCAGGUACACUUGUCGGUAAAUGAAAGGACAGUCAAAAUUGAUCAUUGGGAAUGUUUUUAGUCGCAACAAAUUUUCCUGCUGUAAGGUUGUGAAAAACGAGUUUGUGUCAGGUUUUCUUUUUUAUCUGGGAAAUAAUAAAGGGUCGGGUCGGGUCCAAAAAAGGGGAUAUUUAGCAAUGAUACAUAGGAAAUAUGAGUGGGAUACCACGCAGUGGAAGAAGCGGUGGGAAUCCAUCAUUAGAAAGACUUUACCAUCAUUUGCACGUGUCUAUGGACCCGAUUCCAAAUUCCAUCAUCAUAACAGUUACUAUUAUCUCACUCAAUUACAUCAACUCGAACUCGAUUUCUUACUUACUUGCAUCUAAUUUAGCAAGUUAUGCCUUUCUUUCUUUUUAAUUCAAGGUUCCUACACAAAGCUCAAACAACUUAUCAAUGCCUUUAACUGGACUUUCUAUUCUGCAAUAUGUUUCAUACAAAUCCAAAACUUGACUUUGUAAUUCUUCUACUUUCAUUCGGUCGGAAAUUUUAUAAAAAACCUUAAUAUUUUACAUCCCUUUUAGAUUUUGUAGCCCACUGAUCUCACGGCCUCUCAGAAGCCCACUCUAAAUUAAGCACUAUAUCUUAAUGUUUUCAUUUUUUAUAUUUUUUUGGCAAACAUAUCUCAAGGUUUUUAAAUACAUUCUAUUCUUAUUUUAAAUAAUCUGUUGAUUGAGUAUUGUUGUCAAUACAAUAAAACAUGAGUUCGAAUGCGCUGAAGCACAUUAUCUUUAUAUUUAUAAGUUGGAGAGGGGCUAUAGGUAAUUCUAAGCAUUAUCUUAAAAAGGACAGAUAUAAUCAAAACCUAUAAUUAUAGUUAAUGUUCAAUCAUUUUAAAUAUUUUUAUUAAUUUUCUCAACCAAACCAUCUGUGACAUUGAUUACUUUUAAAGAUUGUAGUAAUAUAGCUGCGAUAUAAAUGAACCAAAGUAAACCGAAAAAUAAAUCAUAAUUGAUUCACAUGCACGGCAUAUAUAUACACUGUUGCUUCAUAAUAUAAAGGGGAGGUGCGGUGGCUCAUAGAAUGUUGUCGGUAGGAGUUAAAAAGUCAUGACAUAUGGCAUCAGUUGUCAUCACCCAGAAAAGAAGAAGAUAGAGAGGUGUUCUCCCACUUCUUUAAAAAAUGACUUACAUUUUCUAUGCUCUUUAGUUUUCGUUUUGUUUGGAAACCUUUUCAGCUUGGAAAUUAAAAGAAAAGGGAUGGAUCCAUACUGUUUGUUUUACGGACCCCAAUUCGAUGCUACUAAAUUAAUGCGAAAGUGUGGAACGCAUAAUCAUUGUUUACAUUGAAAUAGAUUCCCAACUUUAUGGUUCUACAGUUUAAUUCCCCAUCGCUUUUCUUUUUCUUUUUAGUUUUUCUCGAGAAAGGGUAGUGAAAGGAAAAGAGAAAAAGGAUUUAGAAACGGAGGAACAUGAUCGCGUGGUGAGAAAAUUGUCAUGUGGUGUAAGGGAAAGUGGGUUCUAAAAGACUAGUAAAUGGAUGACAGUCCAAACACAAUUAAUUUGAAUUGAUGGCACUGAAAAUAUCCCUCUUUCUACAUUCCCUUUCUUUCUUCUUUCUUCUUUCUUUUUUUAUUUGCUUUGCUUUCGCUUCCUUCUCAAUCCCCUUUUUCUUCUCCUACAUUUUUUAACCUAUUUCUGGAGUUUAGCACCAACUCGUGAGAGUUAAAAUCUUGACCUAGCUAGCUCCCACUCUUUCAACGUCUAAACGUCUCUUUCCUAUACAUUUCUCCUAUACCUUCUACAUAUUCUAACCAAUGUUUAAGGGCUAGAAAUACUUUCAUGGGCCGGGCCCAAUCAAAAUUUUAGGACUAUUUGUUAGGCUUGGGUCUGGUCCGAAAAUAUGCCUAAAAUUUUAUUCAAGCCCGAUUCGGAUAAAAUUGUUAAAAUUCAGACUCAGUUCGUAUUAAUUUUUUUAUAUAAUUUUUUUAAAAUUAUAUAUAAUACAUCAAAAAUACUAAAAAUAUCAAAAUAAAUGUUUCCUAACAAAUUGAAGAUAAAUUAAAAAAGUAUGUAUACUUAAAUAACACUAAGAUAGGUGCAAUUUAACAAGCAAAUGCAUCUAAAUUAAAUAGUAACAAAAUUAACAAUAAAACAAUAUUUAUACAAUGUCCAAACAAUAACAACAAAAUAGUAGCAACAUAACAGUGAAAUGGUAGCAAAAUAGUGAAAACAACAACAACAAAAUAACAACAAAAUAGUAAAAAAACAACAUUUUUUUUUUGCAUAUUCGGGCUGGAUCGGACUUGGGCCCAAAAAACUUUACCCGAGGCCUGACCCGUUUUCUAAACAGGCCUUAAGUUUUGGCCAAGCCCUUUUUCGGGCCUAUAUUUUUACCCAAACCCUCUCACUUUUCGAACGGGCCGGUCUUCGAGUCAGGUCUACUUAUGCAUUGUAUCAAUAGAAUAUAUAAUUAUUAAAGUUUCAUUUAGCUCAAAAUAGUUGCUUUAAGUUUUAUCCAAAUUCACUUAUAUUUAUGAAUGAGUAAUUUAAACUUGUUUAGGUCCAUCCAUAUUUUUAUUUUUUAAAAUAUAAUUAUUUUAUUUAAUAUUUAGUAAUUUGUUAUAACAAAAGUUAUACAAGAUCUUGGAUGGUACAAUGAAGGCAAUUUACAUCGUAAAUGGUGUGAAGAGCUAUUUAAAAUGAUGGUUAAUUUGACGGAUUUGAGGUCAUACCUUAGCAGAGCUUGGGUAAUAGGUCUUGUCUCUUUUCUAUUUUCUUGGAAGAUGUGAUAUUUAUAGAUGGAGGAGAGCUUAAAAUGGAUCCCUUAUCUCAUGAUUGUCUUUUUGAUAGAAUCUAACUUAAACCCAAUGUAUGGGUUGGAUAUGACUAUAUUGGCAGUUUGUGAGGUUGGAAAGUCGAAAACAUUAAUGAGAUUAGAUUUUAUAUGGUUGUUGUCUUUGGUCGCAUUGUGACAAUGCUCUAUCAAUAAACACAUUUGAAUGGCGUGAGAUAUUUAUAGAUGGAGAAGAGCUUAAAAUGGAUCCCUUAUCUCAUGAUUGCCUUUUUGAUAGAGUUUAACUUAGACCCAGGGUUUGGGUUGAAUGUGACUAUAUUGGGAGUUGGUGAGGUUGGGAAGUUAGAAACAUUAAACAUUAACGAUAUUAGAUUUGAUAUGAUUGUUGUCCUCGGUGGUGUUGUGACAAUGCUCCAUCAGUAAAACGCAUCUAAAUGGCGUGGGUUGCCUAUGUGUGGCAAGUAUUCAAGUGGGCAUGAGAGGUGCCUAGGCCCAAGUGUCAUAGGGUUGGACUUUAGUCAAACUAACUGUGCAACCUUAGACAAUGAAUUCGUUUCAAAUUAUUUAAGUUAGUUUGAACCGACAAAGUUGAGAAUCUUAAAAUGUUCUCUAAAACACUGAUGAUGGAAAAUUAUUAAGUGAAACAAACAAGAAAAUAAGAAAGCUUUGAGUAAAUUUUCUAAGGUCGCAUGGUUAGUUCAACUAUAUUCUUAACCUGUGAUGUAAGGAUAUAACAUAAUUAUAUAUUUAUCACUAUAAUCAUAUAAUUUUUUCUUUUACUAAUUUUAUCGACACAAAGCAAUGAUGAUGGAAAGCUAUUAAGGGAAACAAAUGAGAAAACAAGAAAGUUUUCAGUAAAUUCUCUAAGGUUGCAUGGAUAGUUCAGCUAAAAUUUUGGCCAUGACACAAGUAUAUAGUAUAAUUAUAUUUUCGUUAUAAUUAUAAUUUUUGAUUUUAUUAAUUUUUUACACAAUCUCUAAAUUACCUAUAAGUCCCUCACUCGUAAAUCGAAAGAUAAAACACACUUAAACGCGUUUGAACCUAUUUUUUCAUUGUCGCUAUAAUAACAAUAGUACCAACUAAACUAAAGUUAAAUAAACUAUUAAAUUUUUAAAUAUAAAUAAAAUAUUAUUUAGACUUUACAUUAUAGUAUAAUAUAUUUAAUCUUGAUAUAAUAUAACCUAAAUGGUAUAUUAAAAAUAUAUAUCAUAAACUUAAAACAAUUAGAAUCAAACUUUAAAUAUUAUAAAUUUUAAAAUACCUAAUUUAUUUUAUCUAAACUUUUUUUUUCUUUUUUGAAUAAAAUAUUUUUAUUCAAACCAUCAUAAAUUUAAAAGUAAGAGACCAACCCUUUUAACAAAUUUAGUUACAACCCCAAUUACAUUCCUUUUUUAACUUUAUUCACUGUUUGGCCUUUAACCAUAUCUAUUUUUUCAUAUUGAGACUUAAAUUUUUUUUUCUCUCCUUUUAGUACAUGAAUUAUAGUUUUGUUACACUUUUUGGCCCAUGUCAUUAACGUUAUUAAAAAAAUAGCAACCAAUCAAAACACGCCAUGUAUCCCCGUUGACGUUGAUGUGGAUGAUGACAUGGCUAUUGACAGUUUUGACUAUGCGUUGACUAGACCAAAAAUUUGUAAUUUUUUUAUUAGAAACCAUAAAAAAUACUUAAAAAUAUAUAAAAAUUAUUAAAAAAUUUAGAUUAUUAAAAAAAUAAAAUUGUAAAAAAUUAAAUAUUUUUAAAAAUAUUUUAAAAUUUUAAAAAGCUAUUAAAAAUUAUAAAACAUUAUUUAAAAAUUUUAAAAAAUAUUAAAAAUUGUGAAAAUUAUUAAAAAAUUGAAAAUAAUUAUUAAAAAUUGUAAAAACUAUGAAUCAGUGGCAUUUAAUUAGCAAUUUUACAAUUUUAAAAUAAUUUUACAAUUUUUUAAUCAAAUUAUUUGUUGUUACUGUUUCAAGACCGCAAAUCUGAAAACAAUAAUGUCAAAGUAGAUGACAGCAUAAAAAAUCUCCUUGUAUUCAUUUAAAAUUUGUAGAGAAAUUUGAAGAAUUUGAUUUGUUAACUAUUUACAAUUUUUUAAUAAUUAUUUUACGAUUUUUAAUAAUUUUAUAAAAAUUAAAUAAUGUUUUAUAACUUUUAAUAACUUUUUUAAAAUUUUAAAAUAUUUUAAACAAUAUUUAAUAAUUAUUAUAAUAUUUAUUUUUUAUAAUUUUUGGUCUAGUCAAUCGGUCAACACUGUUAAUGUGAUCAACAGCCACUUCAUCAUCCAUUACAGCGGUCAAUAGGACAUCCAGCGUGUUUUGAUUGGUUGCUGCUUUUUUAACACCGUUAAUAACAGGGAUCAGAAAGUAUAAUGGAACUAUAGUUCGGGUACCAAAAUAGGACAAAAAAAUUUAGAUACCAAUAUGAGAAAAUAGGUAUAGUUUAGGGUCCAAAGAAUGAAUAAAACUUUUUUUUCUUUUCCCAUUUUUAAUGUGUCUGUAGUGACUUUUAAAUCAUUCUCACAAUGGCAUUGGUUUAUGUGCCAAAAAGAAGAAGAAAAAAAUGAAAGUCCCACGCCCAUUAAUUGCCCGAAAUCUAGUUGAAGAUGGGCCAAUGCAUGAAGUUGAUAGCCAUUGAUCUGGUUUUCCCUCCAAAAUGAAUGGAGAGAUGUGAUGGCGAGGAGACAGCAGACUCAAGUCCCAAAUCGGAGUAGGGAAGGGGUAAGACUAGUUUUAUUCAAACCUUUUUAAAGAUGGAGUUGAUGGUGGAUACUGGAUUUGUUUGUCUGCUGGUGGAGAUUGGCAGUCGUGUGAUCUUUGCCUCUUUUCUUUCAGUUCUUUUCCUCCAACACUCACUCCUUUCCAAGUAAUGGAAAAUGUAGACCUCUUAACUAAUUUCAAGUUGAUGAAAGUCAAAUACCAUAAAAAGCUACCCCCAUUUUAAUAGAUAAAGAAGUCGUGGAAGUGGAAGGGGGAUUAGGAUAAACCUUUUUAAAAUAAACAACGACGUGAACUCCUUUUCCGCUUUCUUUUCGGAAAAUAGAAGUUUUCUGCAUUUAUUUUGUUGGUACAACUUUAAUGUAAUCAACACUUUUAAUUAAUGAAUCAAAUAUGGGUGUUUAAUAGUGUAAUAAAUCUCUUUUGUCAAAAAAAUUUAUAUUCUUUGCGACCCUUAAAUCAAAAGAAAAAUAUGUUAACGUCUUCCUUUUUAUUAUAAUAUCAACUGAGUUAAGAUUCAAUAGAUAAUCCUACCUUCUUUUUGGUCAUGAUUAAAUCUUGGAUAAGCUGUUUGUAGUAAAAGAAAAAUUAUCAUUGCCUAACGUUUUGAUUUAGUAGACUAUAAUAACUAAGGGACCUUAGCACAUCUAAGCCUAGAGAAUAUAUUUAACAAAUUUUUAAUUAGUCGGUUCGUUUAUAAUUAUUAACCAGAUUUUUGUUAAGAAAAUUCAAAAUCAUUUUCCAAAUAUAUACUUCUGAAUUAUUGGAUGAAAGAAUAGAUGCAAGAUUUUAAGCAUUUUUAUAAAAAAAUAUUAUUUUUGAAUAAUAUUUUUCACAAUCAAAAUACUUUCGAAUCCGGUUAAAAGUGGGGGCAAAGAAAGAUAAGCCGAAGCAGGCCCAAAAAGAAGGAUUUGGGCUUUCAUUUUUCAAUGGAAAGCCCAAAAUACGAGAGUAAUCAGAUUGGAUUUUAUGGGUUGCGCUCUCAUUUCUGCAAGUGAAAGUAACCCAAACGACACUCUUCGUUAAAUUUCCGGAAUCGUUUGCUUAGCUUAGCUUAGCUUCACCGCCGGUCCACCGUCGCUGCUAAUGUAAGCCUCGUUUCCUCUGGUUUCACAUGAACUUCACUCCUCCGCCUCACCUUUUUGUUUUCCCCGUUUCUUCACGCGAUUUAUUAUUUUGUUUGAUUAUUUUCUUAUUGACAAAUUGAUAUUUUCUUUUAGUUCAUGAACUUUGAGUAAUUGAUUAAAUUGUAAUUAUUGAAUCAUUUGAAUUAGAGCGGGGAACUUAUUAUUAUGUAGCUUAAAGGAAAACAAUUUUAACUCUUCUCAGUAAUUGCUUUUAAUGGCUUUAUUUAUGUAAUUUCUUACUUGAUCAUUGCUUGUAUAUGGAGGAAGAUAGUGGACAUGUUGAAUUGCUGGUGAGAUUUUGCUUUGCGGUUGUCGUUCUGAUGUUGACAUCGUGCUAAAUUUUAUAACUUCUAAUUUUACUUCCCUCGAAAAAUACAUAUAUUGUUGCGGCUAUUGGGGGGUGGUGGAAUUAUGAUGAUUAUUAUUUGAUAAUUUAAACAUUAUUAUAAUUAAAAAGGUGAAGCAACAAUCAAGCACUGAAACAACCAAUCCAACGGUAGCUGAAAACCCAUCAUUCUAAUAGCAAAAUAAUCCAUAGAUUGUGCCUUAAAAAUUCAACAAUAUAUUAAUGUCUGCUAAAGGACUCCUUUAGGUGUUUAUCUAAGAUUUGUAUGUGAACCCCUUUUUCUUCUGCUGCUGAUUAAGUAAUUCUUAGUGCUGAUGGUGUGUUGAAGUUUUAGGUGUAAAUGGGUAAGAUGAUUAGGACAGAUAAUGACUGCUGAUAAGUGGUGUAGUUUAAUAUGAUAGUGUGGUCGGUGGUCCAUAAGCGUACACCUUGGUUGGGCAGAUGAGGUUUUGAGAAAAAUAUAUUUACCCGUACAGAAUGACUGUGCCCAGCAUGUGGUCUUGAGAUGGCCAAGGUAGCUCUUGAUUAGGACUUGCUUUUGGACUUCAUAUACUGUCUUUCUCUUGGUCAUUACAAUGUUGAAUAGCUAGUGCAGAGAAAAUUUUUCUAAUUUGUCGUCUUCUUGUACAUGUAUGUGGUUUGAUAUUGAUGGAGUGUCCCUUAAAUUCACCUCCCCUCUUUUAAAGAUAUGAUGAUUGCUACUAAGAUAACUACUCCUGAGGAUAUAUUAUAUGCAUCUUUCUUUACCUCACAUAUUUUGGCAGUAGGUUUGGUGAAUUGCUCUCUUGUUUUGUAUUCUAUGUUCACCAUGAACUUAUUGGUUUCAGUUUUCGAACACAAGUGGAACCUUGUUGUUCCCGUCCUUUUCCCAUUUCAGAUUGUUCUUUUGGAACUACUACCUAAGAUCUUUUCCAAAGUGUGAAAUUGGCAUUUGCUUUUAUACCAUUAUUUAAAAUGAAAGCUUGUGGGUUUACAAUAGAAUAGUGAUGUUUAUAGAAUGCCUACCAUUUCUAUACUUUUAAUGAUUUGCCUUCAUGUGAGUGACAUGAUUUUCCAUUCUUCUAACAGGAAAACAAAAAAAUCAAAUGCUUCUUUUAAUUCGUCUAAUAUAGUCACCAUCCCCUUUUAAUCAUGUGAGCCGUUAUUUGAUCAGAUUUCCUAGUUAACCAAGAUGAAACAUGUUAAACGUCUUUCUACCCUUAACUCUGUGGUUGUGUCAGUGGAAAAGGGGGGAAGAAUGAGUAGGUGGAAAGAGUUUGAAGAUGUCAGCUUCGUUUUCCUAUUAAAGAAUGAACAAACUUUUUUCAUUCCUCUUCUCUUACUUUCUGGCUAAUAUGAAUGCUCUCUCUGUAUCUAUUGGCCUUUGUAGUGGAUAGACGUGUUUGUGUUUUAAUAAGCAUCUUAUAAGAACCAAAAUCUUUCUUAGACAUGAAAUAUGCUACCAAGUCAAGGCUUUAAACUCGACUUACAUAAAUGCUUUCAUUUUGACCAUUGCUGUUCUUACUCCUUGCUGGCAUGAAAGCUAAGACUGGUUUUACAUGAUGCCAAAGUUGUUUGUUAUACAAUCAUGUAUCUGUUACACAUUUCGUCUUCACAGGCGCAUUUGUGUAAGAAUGCCAUUAAAUAUUUUUCUUCUUUGGAAAAAAGGCGAAAGGUGUUAAAUUUGUUGUAACAUGAGUCUUCUCAAUUGUUUGUUCUUUUUAUUGGACUGAAUGCUUAUGAAACCUGACAUUCCUGUUUGAUUCUAUUUACUUUGUGGUACAUAUUCAUUCACAUAUGGUUGCCAUCUAGUUGCUGUCACCGGCAUGCCACAUCAUGACUAAUCAGUUACUGCAGCAUUUCUCUUUCAUUUCUGGUGAAAGAAAAUGUCUUUGUACCUUUCAAUUGAACGCGACAAGCUGAAGAGUUGUCUUGCUACUACAUGUGGGAUGAAACAAUGUAAAUAUUCCUCUUAUAAUUUCAUCUCAUCAAUAGCAGCUCACAUCAAUUCACAUUACACAUUCCGUAAAACAGUUGAUUUUAAUAGUUAAUUUGUGUAAAUGUUAUUAAUCCGUGUUAUACUUUUAAUCCCUUAACGUAGAUGACAUUUUACUUACCUUAUUCUGGUGUCAAUGGCAAAGACAUGGUUGAAGCGAAAACCAUCAUAUGCGUAACAGAGUAUCUUUUUAUAUAUAGCAUGAUAUGAUACAGGUGUGAAAUACCGUCCUGUGAUGUGGACUUUGAUUGGUGGUGGAGAUCCACUGACUGCAUUUGAUUCAAUAUGGUAAAUAAAAUUUAGAAAAUGGGGGUCUUCAGUCCUUACUUGCUGAGAGUUUCGGUGAGUGGAAGGUCGCAUUUGAAGCUGGUUUCGUACGAGGAUGACAACCUGGUUAUGGCAACCUCAUGUGUUUACGUGUACUGCCUGCCUUUAGCUUAAGAUGAACACCUUCCUAUUUUCCACAGCAACAUGCUAGAGAGAGAUUAAUAUACAGGCCAGUCGGACAAUCUGGCAUGGAAUAUUCUUACAGUAGUUUGAUGAACAGAUCUGAUUUAUUCUUUUAUUUUUUGUUUCUAUCGGUCCAUUUACAGGCUCUUUGAUAACUUGCAAUGAAGCAUCUCUCAAUCAAACCGCUCAUCAUUAAUUUGCCACCCAGUGGAUGUAUCGUAUACAUAAUAAAAGCUAAAAAAAAAUAAAUCUCUUCCAAGGACUGCCAUUGACGUUUAUGCUACAGAAUUGAUUUAUUUCUACAAAUUUCCAAUUUGUUUUCACAUGCAAAGGGAAGCUUAAAACAUUCACCUUAAUCACUGCUCAUGGACAAUCAAUGUACGAUGGCUGACAUUUUGUAUAUAUAUUUAUAUUUAUAUCUUUUUCAUGUCAAAUCAGAGGGAUUGGGUGGACAAGUCUUUUACGAAAUUAUUCAUGACUCGGAUCAAAUUCUACAGGUAUUUGAAACUAUUGCUGGUCGGGUUCGGGUCUACACCCUUUUCAGUGCAAGGUCAAACUCUUGACGGGUUGACAGUUGGAACAAACAAGGGCGGCAGAUUUUCACGGCUAAAAAAACAGAUAGAAAAUCAACCGUCCAACACAAAUUAAAGCAACAAAACAAAAACUAAUAAGAAAAAAAGGGUUUGGUCCAAGCGAAGAGCUUCGCAUGUUACAUGUUUGGUCCUCAUUAAUACAAAUAAAAAUCUUAGGUCCCAUUAAUGACUCAUUUAAUACGCAUUAAACAAACAACAAUAAAACUAAUCAAACCCUAAAAAGCAAGCAUCAACUUACGUUAAUUAAGUAUUAUAGAAAUGAAAAAAAUAAAACCCUACUCACCGCCUACCUUUCAUCACCUAUCAAUUUCCAACAAACAAAGCCUUCCGUAAAAGCCACCACCAUCGAUGACGGUGACACCCCCUCCCCUCCCCUGCUCAUCUCUCUCUCUCUCUCUCUCUCUCUAAUCUGGCUGUGUUUUUUUUGGUGUCCACAAGCAAAGUCAUAAGUAACUAACUGUACUUGCUUCUCGCAUGUAACUCUGUGACUAAAUCUCACCCUUAUCUUCUUAUCUAGUUUGUUUGGUUGUAGCAGCUAAUAUAUGGAUACACAAGCUGGUAGGCCCUCCCCCCCCCCCCCCCUUCCCCUUUUUUUUUUCAUGCCUAUCCUCUUAUUGAUCACACGCCCUCGGGUCCUUCAUCUCUUACUUCGAAUUUCCCCAACUUUUUUUGUUGAAAACAUAUUGAUAUUAAUACAAGGAAAUUGAAUAUAAAGAUAUUAUUAACCUAAACAAAAAGCACGGCUGGAACUGAUCAAGGAAUUAGGAGUAUUUACUAACUCAGCGAUAUAUAUCCCUGUUUCAUCAAUAUCCAUUCAUGUUAAAAGUUACAUGCCAUAAACUAAACUUGUAUUCCCAAAGUAAAACAUUCAUAACCUUAUCAAACAGAGAAUCAAUCCAUUUUUUUAUUGAUUCUAUUCUUUGGGCACUUGCUAUUCCGUGAGAGAAUCAAAAAGACAUAAGUGGGGGAAAAAAAAAGUGGCGAGUAUGAACAGUUGUAGGUUUUUGGGUUAUGGUAAACUAUUAUAUUGUUUUUUUCAAUCUUCACCAGAACUGUCAGGGUACUUGUUCAAAUCAGGUUUACGGAAAACUCGAGUAGGGUUCGAUGAUUCCGAUGAUGAAGCAGAAGCAUGAUGGAGUGAGGUCUGUAAAGCGUCGACUUUAGCCCCCACCUCGGUUGCUUUCUUGCGUAUGGAAGCGGCUGAGAUAUCCCUAAGCUCGUCUUCUUGGAAUAUGAGGUCAGGGAAGUUGAGCCUGGCGGAAGGACCACGCAAGUAGAAAACGGCGGUGUCAUAGGCACGAGCGGCGGCUACAGGGGUGGUGUAAGAACCGAGCCAAAUCCUGGACCGCUUGUUGGGUUCUCUGAUUUCAGCGACCCACUUUCCCCACUUCCUCAUCCUUAUCCCUCUGAAUGGUUUCUCCUUUUGCUGUGUCCUAUGCAGCUUUCGCUUCUCUCCGCUUGCUGGACUUGAUGUUAAACAACAAUCACCUAGCUCCAUGACUCAAAAGAUAAAAGAAGACCAAAAUCCUAAAACUAAAUGGAUUUUUUUUAUUUCCCCUUGUUUCUGGAAACUAUUACUUGUAAGCCAUAAGAAGAAGGAGAAAAAGAAGGGAACAGAUUCUAGCUACGUUUAAUCAACGAAUACUCUUUGCUCCAAAACCAAUUCUCUAUUGUUAUAUAUAAGUAGAAAAGGAUAUAUAAAUAAAUAAUAAAUAAAUAAUAUAUUGAAGAUAGAGAGAGAAAGAGAGGAAAGAAGCAGCAUUAGUUUCCCACUUGGCUGCUAGUCUGUCGUCUGGGCGCGGCCGCCACGUUGAUCGAUCUAGCUUUAGAUAAAUCCAAAUUGGGCCGACAUAAUCCAUCACUUCCAAUAUAUCUCUAAAAAAGCCUAUACAAUUUAUGUAUUAUAGCCAUUGCACUACACAUGCAUAUUUCUCUCUCUUGCUCUCGCGGUUAUCGGUUUGUAAUGGUAAGUAUGUGACCAGCCGACGUGGUUCUACUAUAUUCCAAGCACCCGAACUUCCUUGUUUAUUUCCAUCUUUAGUCUUCUUUUUUUUUAAAUUAUUUUUUGUCCCUUUCUUUUUUAACUUCAAAUAUGCUACUGUUUCAUUACAAAAUCCUGAAUAACAAAGUCGGCAUUUCCUACAAACAAAUUAGUCUUAGGUCAGUUUCACCGGUUACUGGUAUGUAGUAUGUACUCUACAAUUAUUAAUUACCUUAAAAUAACUUUAUGUUUAAACCCCAAAUUUUCUUCUUCUUCUUUUUUUUUUUUGAAAAGAAGUAAAAACUGGAUAUUUGAAGUUGUUUGUUAGUUUGUUAUUUAGGAUAUCUAAUAAUAAUAAUGGCCUGGAUUGAGGGUUUAGGGUGGGUAGCUAGUUUGGCAAGUCAAGUGGGAUCCAAUUUGAGAAAUGGAGGCAAUAGAAAAAAAAAAGUCGGGUGGGGAUGGGGAUGGUGUGUGACUUUCCGUCCAGUCCACGCAAUAAAAAUGAUCAUCCAUUCCUUCCUUGGGCUUCCUUUUUGGUAGUGGAAUGAAUGAAUUACCAAAUUGGUUUAAUUAGUAUGGGUGCAAACCCUUGAUUCUUUUGGUGUCAAAUCUCAAUCUUUAUCAUCUGAUUAAUGACCCCCCCCCCUUUUUAUAUUGAAAAGAGUGGUGUUAAGUAAUUUCCACAUCUUCUGAGUGAUAAAUCCAUGAUGUGGUAUCUCUUCAUUGGUUCCUUCAUUUUUCAACACUGUUAAAAGCCAACCCCUCACUUUUUCAUUUAUUGACUAUUAACCCUUCAAUCCAACCAGCCGGCCGGCCAGGUUUAUUUAAAACCAAUUUUUGGGAGGGGGGGAGGUGCAACAUUCCAACCGCCAUUUGAAUUAUUACAAGACAAAAAGUUCUAUAUUGAUACAAUGAAACAAAAAGUGGAACCAUCAGCUAUUUUGGCUCCAAACUCCAAAUUAAAAAUAUACACAUAGUGCAAAAGGAGGGGAAAAUUCAGGGGCAGGCAAGGCAUCGUUAGCUUCUUCCACUUGGCUUCUACAGCUCAUUUCACCCCGUUGAAUCUUUACCUUUAUCAAAGACUGCUGCUUUCUUUUUUAAAUAAUAGAUUUUUCCAAAGAGAUUGUACAAUCUUGAUAAUAACAUACUAGAAUUUGCAUCGUUUUAAUCAAACAUUCUUAUCAUGUGUGCUUAAACUCACCCAAAACUAGAUCUUUUUAUAUAUUUAGUCGGCAAAUUAUUUAUAUACGUGGAUGCAAUUACAAUGCAACAGUAAUAUGGAGAUUCUAUGCAAUAAAACAAAACAAGAUUAGGUGUAUCAGAUUUUGAUCUAAUUAUUAGAAUUAAAAACCCAAUACUGAGUCAACACAUCACAAAGUUAUUAUCGAUUCCAUCCAUUUAAUUUUCUUUUAUUACUGUUUCUGUUUGUAAAAGUAUUAUGUAUGUAGAAACUAUCAUUAGAAAUAUACAGCUCAUUUCGGUCUAUUGAAUUUUCAGUCCAAAUAUGUCAUUUUCACUUGCACAUAUCAUACAAUAAAAUGAAAACAUUCCCAUAAUCUUACCAACUCUACUUGUCAGCCCCAAAAUAAUAAUGAUAAUAAUAACAUAAAUAACAAUGGUUAAUAUAUUAAAAGAUCUAGAAGUAAUUCUUUCAGGUUUAUGAUCCCAACCUUAUCUUUACAUUUCUACCAUCAAAAAUCAUUCUCCGAGCAGAGCUGCAACCUUGGGUUUUUUUUUUUUUUUUAAUUUUUAAAUUCUCAUACGGAGCAGUACACCCUAUAGCAGCUGUGUUGGUCCCAAAAAAGAUAUAGUCAACUGUUCAAACUUGUCUUAAGUUAAGACUGACUUCAAACAUGGUGUUAAUAAAAGGUAGUAAAGAAAAUAACAGGCAUAUUCAAAUAUAGGACAUCUUAAAUCAUGCAACAGAACCAGAGAUCAAAUAAUUUUUGACAGUUCAAUUGGUAGGUCACCAGUGGAAAUCUGAGGUCUCAUCCUAUAGUUUCAGGUAAAGACGCCAUGACAAUGUCCCACUAUGCCAUGAUAUUAUGGAUCAUGAUUGGGAACUAGACUAAUUAUUAAGCAUGCUACUUCUUCAAAGCAAGAGAUUCCUAUUGGUCCCAAUAGCAAAGCUGUCAAAUCAAAGAUUGAAUAUCAUCAGGAAUUGAGGUCUAUAUUUGAUCCGUGAGUGGUUUAGGGCCUUUGUUUAGGUUGGAAUAUACAUAAAACUAAUCCUCCUACAUUUAGGCUUCUUUAUAUUAAACUAUUACUUAUUUACUAUUAGAAGCCUAAACCUAAUGUUUUCUUCUUGUUUUGUCUAACAAGACUAUCUCCAUACUAUGCUUUAAACCGUAUAAUAUCCAUCACCCGAGCUUCAAAUAGAACACACACGCCAAAACUAUCAAAUUGCAACCAUAACCCCUAAGCAACGGGUGCUAGAACAAGGCUGCGGCAUCACCUAAAAAGCUUUUCCAACAGAUACUAGCGACAAAAAAAUCUCUUUAAAGGCCCUAAUUCUUGUCAAAUUAAUGAAUCAUUGUGCAGACCUAAUUUCUUGCUUGGACAAAAUAACUACCAAGUUCUUGUCAAUUUGAGGCAAAACCCAUCCCCCCAUACUUGUCCUACAUAAGCUAUGUGAUUGGAGGAAGUUCACUGAGUCAUUGGACCUGACCUUAAUAACUUCAAUUGGAUGAGCUACAGAGAAUGAAAAGGACCUUUGCCAGUCAGGGGCUUUGAACUCCCGGGACGAAUUAACAACAAUCUAGUUUUCAAGGACUAUUGGAGCAGUACAAACUUUUCAUCCCAUUAAAUCUCCUCAUUUGCUGUUUCUCGUAAGAUGAAUCUCACAAAAUCAACCUCAAAACCUUCUCCACAUUGCAUCUUAAAUUCACACUACCAGAACUGUAGUCUACAUACUUCUUGCGCGUUGAAAUAGAGACAAGCACAAACGCGCCUCUAAGAACAAGAACUAGAUAAUUCAAUCAAGAAUCAAUAUCUUCUUAUUCUCAACACCUCUGUUUUCUUUCUUUUUGAACACCUUCUAAUAACUGUAUUUCUAGUUCAACUCUAAGGCUACUGCACAAUCAUUUCCAUCAGCCAAAUGAUACACAUAAAACAGUAAUGAAGCAACUUCAUUCAGGUAAACAACAAUGGGGAUAGUCCUUCGACGUAGCAAGGCAACAGAAAUUCGAUCUUAACACCCUAGAGAAGCACUAAUUCAAAGUGGCCAUUAGAUCAUUUGAAGCCUCCAUAAGCUAAUCCAAUCAAUUAAAAUAAAAAACAAGUCAGCAACCAUAUUCCACUACUGUCCAUUGAUCAAGUUCAAGAUACACAUACAAAGCGGCUUGUCCACCAACAUAGAUGAGCCACACAUACAGUACUAUAUUGUUGAUGAAAGAGAAAAUGAUUCUAAACCCAUUAUUGUGCUGCAGUUUCCCUCUUGUUAAUACCCAUAUUACAUGCCCCUGAACCACCAAAAGCAAAUGAUACAAAGGCAAUAUGAGGCAGAUAUAUAUACCCACUUGCAAAUCUUAAGACAAUGGAGGACCACAUUAUAUACCUUUCCUAACACCGCUGUCGUUUCUUGCCUUUCAACAAACUCUUUCUGUUUCCCUUUUAUGUAAUUGCUUGAAAUGUUAUUUACAAAUCCAAAUUUGUCUUGCAUUUUAGACCGCAAACUCCACAUGUGUAAGGUUCAGAAGGAGCUACGGCUCCUUUGCGUUCGAAGAUGUCGAGGCUUUUCCUCUCCCGACCUUCUUGUAAGAUCACUGAGGUAAGUGGAUAAACGCGUGACGGUUAGCGUAUGCUGACAUGUCAACCAUACCCCCGAAUGUUCGUCCCACUUUUCUCAACUGCUUCUCACCAAGUCGAUUUCUACGGCGUUGGCGUCGGAUUUGAUGGUCAGGUGCCAUUGGCGUGGUGGGGAUUCCGUUUUGGAGCGUGUGGCAAAAGUGGGAGAGAGAAAAAGAGGGUUCUGGCUUUCUGUGGAGAGGAAUCGAGUUUAUGUCAAAGGGGUUUUAGAGGAUUCAUUGCUUCAUUCAUUUGUAGGCUUUGGUAGGAACUCUACUGAUAUAGCUAACCCAAGACAUUUGGACAACAAAAGCCGAAGGUCUAAAUAUCAACAACAAGUGAGCUACGGGCCAUCUAUUGGAGAGCUCAUAUGUUAAGGCUUUUCAAAAAUUUGCAGCUCAAAGUAUGAUAGUCUAUAGGCCUCCGUAUUUUGUGAACGAUAGAUUUGGGCCUACAUACUCGACAAAAUCAAAACAAUCAUUCAACUUCAAGUUGAAGGAAGGAAUACAUGCAUGCCUGGCCUUUUUAUCAUUUAACUAAAACCAAUCAAAGUGGAUAAACAUGUCGAUUUUUCGAAAUUCUUGCUUAAAGAAUGUUGGAUUUUGUGCCUGAUGCAAAACUAGACACUGGGACAUGUCAGCUUUUGUUUGUGAGGUCCCAGGAUAUCCCCCCCAAAGCAACCCCUUCAACCGAUCAUUCUCAGUGUGCAUGACUGUCUGCGACAUCAUAGACAGAUAAGAUGGAAAGAAGCUCUUACUUAAAUGGUUUUGCCUCAUCAAUCAUGACAAUCCUGCCAAAGAAAAAGCUUUCCUUUAAAAAAAAAUUAUUUUGCAGUUUAUAAUCACCAUGCUGGCUUUACAUUUUCUUCAUCCCUUUAUUUCAGAUUUUUCUUUUCAGCUUUAAUAUAUAUAUAUAUAAGCUUUUAUCAUUUGUGAGAAAUUCCUACAAAAAAAUAAUCCAAAUCCAAGCCCAAAUUCUACCAAUUCUUAAGCUUCGAGUACUACCCUAAAAUGGAAUCAGCAUCCUUCUUUUUAUUUUAUUUCCCUGUUACCCGAAAAAUAUGAAAACUUUUUUAAUUACUAAAAUAAUAUGGGUUGAGCAUGGCAGCUGACGAUUUAGGGUAAUAAUGAUACAAUUAUUCUGUGGGAACUAAAUAUGAUUACAUCAUAAACCCAAACCGUCAAUCAUCAUAUCUAUUUUCUCAUUCACAAUCCAAAUAUUAUUGCAAGAGAAGUGUACACUGACUGAAUAGAAAAUUUUAUUUUUUUUCCUUCCUACUUUUCGAGGUGAUUUGAAUUGCUUCUUCUUCUUCUUCUUUUUUAGUAUUAUAUGAAGAGAAACUUAAAUUAACAUGUCGAUUAACGGUUUAGGUUUACAAUGCUGCCAUAUUAUCAUCCCAAAUCAUCAAUUGUCAUGCUAAUUUGAGAUUUUCAUACUCAAUAUAUAUUAUUCGAGUAAUUUAAAAAAUUAUUUUAUUCUGAUAAUUUUCUUUUUCCAAAAAAAAACUAUUUUAGUUCUGCAUUUUGGACAAGAAUGCAAGAAAGUAUUUGCAAAAUAUUUAUGGUUCCUCCGUAAUGAUUUAUCCCCUUGAAUUAUGGCAAUUAUCUUAUGAAUUAUGAUCUUUACCUCUUGUCUACUAUUACCAACACAUGAUGAUUGCCUUUAUGUUUUAUUCUGAUACAGGAAUGAAAUAAAUGAAUAAAUGAAGAACUAAGAAACCAUAUUUUUUGCAUUGAUUGGUAAUUGUUAGACCAAUGUGCCAAUGUGGGCUGAUGUAAUUUUAUUUUUAUUUUUUAUUAAAAAUUUUACUUGUUAGAUCUGUGCUUUUAUGAAACAUGUAGAUUUAAUCUUUAUAUUUUAAUUUGAUUAAUUUUAGCAUUUUUACCUUUUCGAAUCAGUCAAUUUUAGUUCUGUAUUUGUGAAUCUUGAAAUUUCAGUUCUCACCCAAAAUAGUGGCACUUAAAUUCAAUUACUAGUCUUGUACUAAGUCUUCGUACUUUUUGAAUUUUGUAAUUUCAGUCUUGACACAAAUAAUAAUCGUUGUUUCAUUAACUAAAAUUUUAGGGAGGAUUGAAAAUUUAACUUAAAAAGUACAGGGACUACAAAUGACCAAAUUAAAAUACAACGACUAAAUGGUUGUUUCAUGUGCGUCUUACUAUCAACGUUGAGAAUUUGUGACUAUCCCUCCUAAUAAUAUUGUCUGUAAAGUUGGAUCAUGCAUUUUCUUUUAUUCCCUUGGGAAUGCAAUGUACUAUCUACACUCAACACUUGUUGAUUUUCUUAAUCAAUAUUGUUCAUAUUGCAAUAAUAUUAAAUUUGUAGGUUCGGUUCAAGGAUAUUUAAAUGUGUAAUAUAUAAACUAUAGGAAUUUGAGGUUAUAGAAAAAGAAAAUAAAAUUUAUGUGGCACAGUUUAUAAGUUGUCAUUUGACACAUUAAUAGGAUGACAAUUGUAAUUAAUGAUUUCAUUAAAAAUUUUAUAGGUUACCAUAAAGGCAAGUUUUCAUAUUGAAAUAGAAAAUUUUAGUCUAAUAUUAUAAUAUUUAUUAAAAUAAAAGGUAAAAAAAGAAGAAGAAAGAUUAAGCCACAGUAAUCGAAGAUUACAUAAAUUUUCAUAAAGAUCGUGCGAGUUUAUUUUACAAUGUUUAUUUCAAUCAUUGUUUAAAGUAGAGCAAAGGUAAAUAUAAUAUUAUAAAAAAAUUUAAUAUUAAUAAAAUUAACAUUAACAUAAAUUAAUUUAACAAUAACUUAUAAAAAUAUUAAUAACAUUAUUUAAAUUACAAUAAAUUAAAAUUAAUAUUCAAGCCAUAAUGAUGUUCUAUAUUUUUUUAAUAUUAAAUAUUUUUAACAUUAAACAAAGUUAACAUAACUGAUUCUAAAUUUGUUAUAUAUUUUUGAAAAUAUUUUGAAUUACAUUAAUUUCUCCAAUUUUUAGGAAAUUAAUUAACGAUGUUAAAUAAAAAAACAUACACAAUUGACUCAUGCAAUGCACGGAAGUACAAAUUAAUAUCCUCUAAUUUAAAUAAAAAACAUAAAAUAAAAUUAUAAAAUGAUUAAAUAUAUCAAAAUUUUAAAUACAAAUAAUAAUACAAUAUUAAAUGUAUAAUGUUAAAAAUGAUAAAAUAUUUCUUGCUUAAUAGUAAGAGACAUUUUGAAAGGUUAGAGAUUUUAAAUUUGAAUUCAUCUUGUAAGUCUUAGUUUAUUAAAGUUUUUUUUUGUUUUGAAGUUAUAACAAUUUUAGUAAAAUCAAUCAUUAUAAAUAUUAAAUUGAAAAAUUAAGUAAUCAAAAUAAAUUUAAAAAAUAAAAUUCCAAUCUAAAAUAUCUAAGAUUUCCAAAAUUUCAAACUUACCAUUAAACUUGAAGGGAGAGUAAAAAUGAUACAUCUAUAAUGGUGGGUAAAUGAAUGAGCUGGGAUUUAAUUCAUUGCAGUCCACUACAAAAAGGCCUUUGUGUUUGGUUAAUGGUUACCCAAAAUAAAUGAUAUUAAAAUCUUGUUUUUCUAUUGAAAUAUGAUAAGUACAAAAGGGUCAACAUAGAUUUUCUUUUUCAUUUUGCUUCAAAAGGUAAGGGGAAAAAAACAGUUGGUAUUUUAAUGGUUUUCCAGGAAAAUGGAGGCCUCCCACUACUUUGCAAAAUGAAACAUAUUUAAUUUGGCUGGCAAAAUGACAGGGAAAUCACACAAAAUCAGAAUCCCAUUUAAACAUUCCCCAAAAUACUCAUUAUUAAUUAAAUACAUAUAUGGGUUCCUAUAUUGACACCUAAUAUGCCUACCUCAUUUAAAAAAAAGAUUGGCCCUCAAACAUAUAAUCCUAUACAUGUCCCCACCAUGGAAAUAGCCUUUUGUUUUCCAUGGCCAGAGAGGAUGCCUUAAAUGAGACAAAUAUUCAAUGUGCAAGUGUCAUGUAUUUUCUCUCUCAGGACCAUAUACAUACAUUUUUGUUAAUUGGAUAAUAUUAUUUCAUUUGUACAUGAGAUAGAGUGCUUUUUUGAGGUGAUAGAAUGUCAUGUGUAAAUGAUAAUAUAAGAAUUUUGUAAUGAAUUUAGACUCUCCAAAGAUCCAUAUUAUAGAACAGAUUUUACAUGGCAUUAACAGUCACUCGACACGUAGGUACAAUAAAAGCCAUGCUCCCUAUUUUCUUGGCCACUUCGCCCUUACAAUAUUCCCCGCUUUGGCGUUUGCUCGACUCCCGAAUGCUUAAUUGUCUCCUAUAGAAAAAGUUUUGAGACUUUCAAUGGUUGGUUUUCUAGAAGGGGUUUACAGUUUUACUGACGUCGAAACAAGCAAUAAACACACCCCUUCUUUCUCUCUCCUUUGAAAACACAAAAUGAAAAUGAAUUAAUAAACGCGUUUUUUAAUGAAGAAGGAUUGUCGGUUCAUAUUAAUUAAAGAAUGGACCAUAAAUAAAGGAAAAAUAAAAAAACGUUAAUUGCCCAUAUCCCCUCCUCCCCACGAAAUGGUUCCCUCUUUACUACCAUACCAUUUUUGCUUAUUACCAUUGCCUCCUGCCUUUCUUGAACCAGUCUUGGUCCACUCUUUCCUUUCCUUGACGUUUCUUUUAUUCUUUUACUUGUUUCUUCAUCACCCUUUUCUUCUCAGGAAAAAAAAGGGAGAAACUUUGUUCAUUUGUAAACAGGUUGAGGAAAUACUACAGAGAGAUGCCUGAAUGGGUUCAAAUAGCGGUAGCAGCGGUGGGCGUCGGAAUCCUUUUGAUGCUUUUGGUUGUGUUUAUACUUCGGUGUUGUUACCGUAAAGAUAAUAUUGACGACAACAGGGCUGUUGUUGGGACUGGAAAUUUGCAAGACGGGAUUUCUAGACUUCACCAGCCGAGUCUGCAUCAUCAUCAUCAGGUUGAUUUAGAUAUCAAGAGAAGAGGGAAUUACUAUGUUUUCCGACGUGGGGUUUCGGCAAAACCUUUGUUCAAUUGGGCUGAUCAUCCAUCUCUCAUCACCGAUGCAGUUGAAAACGGAUGGUCUCGUUUUGGCUUCACAAGAUACACGUCGUCUCCAUCUACGAGGUCUAGCCUGUUGGGAUUAUGUGCAGCCGGUGACCAUGGAAGAGGGAACGAUGUAGAGGUGAACUGGGAAGUAUGCCAAGGAUCGGCAGAUUUCAUGCAGAAGAUUAGGCUAAAUUCCGGGUCAAAGAAAGGGACUUUAAGCCAUCAUUCUAUGGAGGCAGCAUCUGUUAUUAGAACAGCUUUGCCUUUGCCAGGGCCUCCUUUGGGGAACUCUGCCUUCCCUCAAGAGGCCUAUUUCGAGAUCACGAUUUUAUACUGUCCUGGAGAUAAUCGUGAGUCAAGCGGCAAACUAAGCGAAGGUGAGAAGACAAAACUCAUCCAAGAAAACUCGAACUCGAAAGCAAGUUCAGAAUCUUUGGUCCAUGCUAUUGGCGGUCAUGAUUUUAACACGAUUGACGAAUUAAAGCUUGCUACUAUAGAUGAUGGGAAAGGUGAAGCAGUAAUGUUAUCAGUGGGACUAACUGCAGGAGACUCUCUUCCUUUGAAGCUUCCUGGUAGUUAUCCAGGAUCCAUUGGUUUCAAUUCGGAUGGUUCUGUCUAUCUAGAUGGUAACUCAUUUUUUUUAAUUUUCAAUAAAUUUUAUAUAUGAGAAACCCAUUUUUUUAAAAAGAUUAAUGGAGAUUAAACACACUCCAUUUACAGAUAAAAUAGUACAGAAGCUAGCCUUUGUGUUUAUCAAUAGAAAGAAAAGUGCCAACUCUCCACCAAUGAACAAAUCUCUCAACUAAAAGGUCUCCAAAAUUAGCCUGACCCUGAAGUAGUUGAGAGAAAGGCCCACUGCCACAUGGUCAUCGUUUAUGUAUAGAGAAGUAUUAUUUUAUUAUUUAGGCUAAAGACCACUGAAUUAGUUAAUGGUGUCACCCUUCACAGUAUCUGGAGUAGGUGUAAGCUAUUGACCCCAAAAGAUGCAUCAUUUUCCUCUAAUUUAUUGCUGUAUUAUCUGUAACUACAAAACUUUAGGCUAAGCAGUUCAACUUUCUUAGUCACAUGCCACUUCUUCAUUAAGCUUUUAUUAUUAUUUCUAUUUUUUAAUUUUUAUUUCUGAUGAGCACCUGAACUGAACUGAUGCUAUUUUUUCUCAUAUUCCAGGGAUUAAACUAGUGUUUGAAUCAGAGAAAGAAGAGUGGGGGAAAACAGAGAAGGUGAUAGGUUGCGGGUUCGAUCCUAGGCAAAAGAAAGUGUAUUUCACAUUAGAUUCGGAGCUGGUACGUGUAAUAAAUUGCAAGACUGAGGAAUUUGGAUCACCCCUUUAUCCAACUCUUGCUGCAAACGAUGAUGUUCUGGUCCUUGUUAAUUUCGGACAAAGUGCCUUCGCAUAUGGCCCCGCAAAUGGACAACGGACACCAAAUCCAUGCUUCAUUGGCCCUCUCGUAAACUCCCCUGCCGCUGCUCUCGGCUAUGAAGACAGCAAAGAACUGUUUUCGAUGGGAAGAAUUGAUUCCCAAUGGUUUAACAGAAGCACAACCAAAGGCAGCCACAACAAUGGAACUAACUACUAUUCAACGUCGGAAUUCGAUGAGGAAUCUGAGGCCGAUUUAUUCGAAAUCAUCUUGGACAGUAAUGGAAGAUCCCCCAACUCGGUUUUGUAGCCUACAAGACUGACAAUUUUGUUUCUCCAAGUUGUCUGGUUUAGGCGUUGAAUCAAGUGUUUCUCGUGAGAGUGACAUCGUUUGCCAUUGGAAGGAUUAGAGUUUCGAUAGGAGGUUGAUUUAUUUUGACUUGAAUGGUUGAACCUCUGCAAUAUUUUUAGCAGCUUGUUCAUCUUCGAAAAUACAGAUACAUGAAACUAUAUGAGGAAUUGGGUGCCGAAAAUAAUUUUAAAAAUUUACAAUGUUGACUGACAAUUGGGCUUUUGCCAUGUAUAUUGCCUUCUCAACUAUAUGUAAUUUACACUGUAUAGAAUCAAAUAACACUUGAUCCUUUCGAAACGGUUUUGCCUUUUGGUUUAGACAAAAAAACCUAACGUACGCUAUCGUUUAACAGUUGAAUUAUCAAAAUCAAGACCACCAGGAGAAAAGUCAAAAGAAGAACAAAGAUAGAAGAAGGGAAGGAAGAAAACAAAGAAAGACCCUGUAAUAGAAAAGACAAAAAGGUGAGAUGCCAAAUGCCAAAUCUUAGUCACCGUUCAAUAUGCUUAAAAAAAAAGGGUGGGGGGAUGUUGAAUAUAUAUUUGUCAAUGGAUUGGAUUCAGCAACAAAAACAAGUGUCGACAGUCGCGUCAAGUUUUUGUUGGUGUAGGGGUCAAUUUUCUAGAUUAGAUGCUUCCCAAUGCGAUCGUUGGAAAUGCUUCUAACUUGAUGCUCCCAAUCGCAAAAUUCCCAAAUCCUAACAAAAUUAGUGUUAGAUAAAAUUUCAUGCAGUUUUAAUAUUAUGAUGUAUAUAAAUGGUUGGUAAUCGAACAAAAACUUGGUGUGAAGGAUUGCACAUCAAUUACGGUCCUUCACACCAAGUCAUGGAAUCCUCUAAUAGAUAAUAAUAUCAACAAGUUGAGAAAAGCCUGCACAUAAAAAAGUUAUUCACAUCAAAGGUUGCUUGGUGGAGAAUGUCAAAACACACCAUUCACACUAUCAUUGUUUGAAAAUUAAGUCUAAGCCAGCAAUAUUUGGCUGCUGAAUAUUUUAUGUAUUUAGACAAACAAAGCAAAGUAACUUUAGAUUAAAAUUUGGAACGCUGCACGUUUUACUGCUUUCUUCUAGAACUUGAAAUGUAAGACCAUGGUCAAUGAAUUUUAUGUUGGAAUUGUCAUAGUAAAAAGAAUCGUGCUACAGAAUUUUUAGAUCAAAAUACUAAAAUAAAAAUUACUGUGUUUGACUUGGGAUACAUAUCUAUAAGCAUAAUAUUUGCCACGGACAUGAAUUGAAGGAAACGUACCGGGGUUGACUUGAAUGAUAGGACUAGGAUUAAGGUACCGACUAUCUUUAUGAUUAACUUGAUUCAUGGGACACUCUUAUAAUAUAUUGAAUUCCUUUUCUGACCCAUCAAAAAAAAGACAUCAAUACAUAAAUCAAGCAAAAUUUGCAUCAGCUCAAUUCUACUUAUUGCCUCUUUAUAUUUCCUUCCUUGCUUCUACCGUGCCUUUUUUCUUAUUAGACACUAAUCCAUAAAUAUAAACAAAUAAACAAUAAAAAAAGUGGAUGAAUCUCUUAUUAGACACUUGUCAUUCUCAACAUUGGGUGCAGCAAGCUCCUGUUAGAUCAAAUACAAAGGCUGAAAAGGUGUGGCUCAGGAUCAAAGUCGAGGGGCAUUUGCUUAUUAUAAAAGCAAACAUUAAUUGCCAUUUAAAAUAUGGAAGACAUUUUCAGCUUGGAUUUGUUAGGUAGAAAAGCAUGGAUCUAAUUUCAAUAAUGUAAUGCAUACAUCACACUGUCUGUAAAUUAGUCAUAGCCUGGAUUGUCGAUAAAAUUAUAGGUAACAAAAGUGAAGUCGAAAAAGCAAUAUGAGUUAUAACAGUUCAAUCAGAUCUAGCAUGUAACUAGAGAGACGGUGGAUAUUGCAGGACUUGCUGUUGAACUCUUUUCCGGUACAAAUCUGGGUUCUGUAUUAGCCAAAGGUAGCAGGUCAGUUCAACGAAAACAAAACUAUAUAACAUGCUACCAGCAGCAACAGAAAUGAUUAAAGGGUAAACUUUUGUAGUUUUUUUUCCUUUAAAAGGGUGAUGCUACUUACAGAUACAUAAACCCGAUAUCCCUCUGUUUGUGCAUAGUCGCUAGCAUUAGGUUGAUCAAGCAAAUCUUGAAUGCCCACAAGGAUUUGCGUCACUGUAAUUGAGGGUCUCCACCCCUUGGGGGAGGAAGACAAGGUUUUGCUUUAGCAAAAUAACAUGCAUUUUAAAUCAAAGUUUGGUGUGAAGUUACUUACAUGGCGCUCGCUGAGGAUAGAUAAGCACACAUUUCCUGAAGGAUAAACAUUAGGGUGGAAGAAACCAUUUGGAAACUUGCAUAUAGGGGGUUUGCUAGGGUAGUCCUCACUGAAGUUGAUAGUAAGAGGAAAGUAGCCACCUUCCCAAUCAGUCUGAAAAGUUCAAAAAAGAAAAAGAAAAAAGGAACAUGAAUGGACUAUAUAUAAGCUGUUAAUGGAUAAAAGAGCAGUUUAAAAGUUAACUUGAUGAGAUUUUGUUUUUUGGAAACAGUGAGUUGUUCUAACUAUGAUAAAAAUGUUGAAAAGUAAACAAGAGAAUCCAUUAGUGCAAAAUAUUUAACUACUUCCAAGCCAUGUAAAUUCUCUUUCAAUGUGUUCUUAGUUAAGUUGAAGCAUCUAGUUAUUCCUCAGUAGCUGAAUCUAAUGUAUUGGCUAGUCUUCCAGUGCAGAAUAUACAUGUUUUAAUGCAUAAAGCGAUCAAAACCACACAACCCUUGAUCAAGAGGGAAAAAAGAAGAAGAAAACGGGGGCAGAAAUUAUUUAUACAAAGAUUUACACUGCGUGUACUUCAAUCAGAUCUUUGAACAUUGUGAUUAACUAAUAAUUGAUCAUAUAAAUUUCAGUUCAAAUAAAUCGCAGCCUUACAUACAACAUAAGAAAACAAAACGUCAAAAGCCAACAAUCGAAAACUUCAAAAGUCUAAACUUUGCUUAAUAGAAAAGAGAGAGAAUUUUGUAGUUUAAAAAGUAAAGACUGACCCCUAUUUUGCCGGGAAUAACACAAUGCCAAACCAACAAAUUAACAGACCCAUCUGGCGCUGACAUAGGCUUAGCCACAAAACCCUUCAGAAUCACCACCAACAAAAAAAACAAUAAUAUAGGGAAAAAAAAGAGUGAAAGCGACGAUAUAGAAAAAAAAAAAAAAGAGUGAGAGAAGGGAAUAAUGUUGAUACAUGGGGAUGAUUUUUGCGCCAAGCUUUUCGUUCCUCCGCAAGACGGCUACGCGCGAUACCGUCGGACAUGAUCUUUUAGGGGGGGACUGUUACUUUGUUUCUUUGUGUUACUUGAGACUUUUAAGAAGAUCUGCGUCUUGUCCAGCAAUCUAUCUCUAUACAAAUUUUUGUUGGAUGUAGAGAUUGGACUGAAUUUGGUCUUUUAAAGCUGACUUGUGAGUUGUGAGUUGUGACCCUCUCUUUCCCUAACCGACCCUUUUUUGUUUAAGGUAAUUAAUACGAAAAAAAAUAAAUUAUGAUGUAAGUUAUAAUAUUUGUAUUGGCAGGGGUUUUGAGAUUUAAUUAACGAUUAAUAAUAAAAUUUUUCGGUACAAUCAUAAUUUUUUUUAUACAAUUAUCAAUUAACGGUGUUCAAACGAUUAACCGAAUCAAAUUAGUAUUAAUUAAAUUAAUUGAAUUUUUUAAUCUUUUAACCGUUGAUCGAGUCGAAAUUUUUCAAUAAAAAUUAACCGAAUCGAAAUAUUUUGGUUAAUUCGGUCGGUUAAUCGAAUUAACCAAAAUUUAUAUAUAUUUUUGUUAAAAGAAAUAUAAAACAUAUAAAAAAUAAAUUGAUAAUGUUCAUUUGACCAAAUUAGUAAUAGCUUAAUACAUAUAAUUUAUAAUAUCAUUUAUUAAGUUCGGUUAAUUCAAUUAAUUAUCUAAAUUCAAACUGAAUUAAUCGUUAAUUGAAAUUUUAGAAGGAUUUUAACCGACUUUCGACUAAACUAGAUCGGUUAAUCGAUUAACCGAAUUAAAUUGAUUCAAUGGAUUAAUUAAAUUUUAACCGAAGUUUGAAUCCUUACUAUUAAUAAUAAUUUAAUAUGCUUGUAUGUACGAGGUUUGAAUGAAAAAUACAUUAAAAUCCAAGUGACUUUUUAGCUUUCCCUUUAAUUUGAUUUUGCUCGGUUUGUCCUAUCUCAAAUUCUCGCUAUUUUAAAUUUUAUAUAAAAUAAUUAAUAUAUUAGGUUAAGAAAUGUUAUACUGAGUAUACACAUUAAUUUUAUAAAUUUAUAAUCUCAAUAGCUAUAAUUUAUAAAAUUUUAAACUAGUAAAGGAAAAAUUGUAUUUUGACUUUAAAAAAAUUAAAAAAUAAUUUAAUCAUUUAAAAAUUAUAAAGAUAUAGACUAUUAAAAUGCUGAAAUAAAAAAAAAGUGAAAAUACAUUUUUACUAUGUAAAAAAUACAAUUUAAUUCCGCUAAAAAAAUUUCUGACUUUGCCCAUGUAUAAUGCCAUACAAAAAUUUUAAUUUUGUGCGAUUUAAUAAAUGAAAAUUUGAUUUUAUUCAAAUUCAAUAAAUCACUAACAUCAUUUUUACGUUGAUAUAUUACAUGCAUGAAUAAUUAUAUUGAUUCAAUGUGAAAAUAAAUGUAUGUAUUUAUUUAAAUCAAAAUUUUAUGUAUACAUAUGAACUGCCAUUCUAGUUUUAAGUGUAUAAUUACAUCAAAUUAAAGUUCAUGUAUCAAAUUAUACAUUAAACCAAAAUUGAUGUAUAAUUUUGAUAUUUAUUUACAACAAUUGUAGCCAUACACAAAUUAUAAGAUGGGGUAAUAAUUCUAGGCGGGCUUGACCUGUAUAAAAUUUUCUAAAGCAUAGACGGCCUGUUCCCCAGCCGAGGGUGUAAUUGCUUUAAGGGCCUGUUUUAGCCGGGCCUUAUGGAACAACCCAAUCUUUAUUUAUUUUCCGGUAUGUUUUUCCCAGAAAAUAAUAAUUUUGAUAAACAUAAAAGGAUAAUUUAGAUUCAUUCAAUUCCAACUUUUUGGAUAAUUGACAGAUGAAAGAAUGCUAAAAGUUUGGUGUUAAUGGAUAAGCAUGAUCCCUUUUCUACUAGACAAAUCAAAACUUAUUUCCCAAUUAAAUCAUUGUAAAAAGGUGUUUAGUUGAACCCAGCUCAUUUUCAAGCCCAAGAAAAGAAAAACACUCAGAGAUGAAUAGAGAAGAUAAGAGAGAAAAUAGGGCUGGCCCUCAGUCUGGCUGGAAAAAACCGUCUACUUUGUAAUGAAUCUUGGCAGAGCCAAUCAUCAAUGCAUUUGAUUGUGAUUUAUGACUAGAUAUUAACAAAUGGAGCAUCUUUCUGAAGAUGAAUAUACCCCUCCAGAGGCCCAAAACCCCACAAUCUUAUUGCAAAACAUUGAAGGCAUGCAUGCGCAUGAUGAAGGCCUAGACCCUGCACAUGUUUCUGUCUCCAACACAUUGAAAAUAAUAAAAACAAAAACAAAAAAGCUUUUUAAUUUCAUCAUCGAAGUGUUUUUACAAUACGAGAGCACAACAAAGAUCUUUAGCAUUAGUUUUGGUGUUUUAUUAGGGACAAAAUCAUGAUGGAGUGGACAAGAAAAACCAAAAAAGAAAAAAAAGAAACACAAUUUAGAUUUGAUUAUUGGCUUUCUGGUUGACACUAGUGUAUUGACUGUAAUAAUUAUGCCCUCAAGAAUCAUAACUUUUCUAUGAAACCUUAGAUCAUGUUAAAAGUGUACUUGGAAUAUUUAAAACCUAGUGCACUGAUUAGCAAAAAAAAAAAAAAAAAACUAAGUGAUUAGACAGUAGGAGGAUAGUCCAAAUUAGGUUAAUGACUGUGUUAAUGAUUCUAGUUCAUAAAGGGUAAAGAUUUAUAGAGUUUGCUUGUGAGAAUGAUAGAAUGAAAGGAGACAGAAAGAUUGGUGCUUAGAUAAAAAAAAAAAGGAAAAGGAAAAUAUAAAGUAAAAGCUUGAGAAUAAUUUUUUAGUGAUGUAAAGGAGGUGGGAGCAUGUGAUGCAAAGCUCCACAUGGGGUAGAAUGAAAAGAAAUUAAAAAGAAAGAAAAAAAAGUUGGUGCUGGGGACUUGGAAGUGUGGGAAUAUUAAAGAAUAAUGAAUGCUAUCCGCACAAUUGCAGCUAUCUAGCUAAGCAUUCCUGAAAUUAGUUAUUAAUUAAUGAAGUUUUUUUUUUUUUCAUUUUUUCAUAGGAUAAACAUAUGUGAGAACUUACAUAGUUGGAAGCAGAUUGGAAGGACCAAUUGGU